rnacentral:lncRNA from 1 species
UUUCAGAAAGUUCAGUGAUAUGGGUAUGGCAAGGACUGAAGAAGUGGACCCCUCAAAAUGCUAAGGCAAGCAUUGGCAAAAGCUCAAGACUCCAUUUUUGGUUUAGUGAUCCAAGAUCACAUUGAGUCUAUAGGAAAGCCAAUACUAUUAAAAGGGGAUGAGGUUAUGAUAAUGAUCUGGUUGCUCAAAGUGCUUAGUGAUAUAUCUCCUAAACUAUCAGCAACUCUCACUUCCAUAAUACACUCAUAAGUAAUCUCGGUCCCACCGAUUUUCCAAACCCAGUCACACCGAGAUGAACCACCUCAGCCAUAUAGCCAAACCCUAGAAUUCUCGGAUUUUCCGAUUCUGAACUCGGUCUCACCGAAACUUGAGUUGCCAAGCUUCUGUAACCUUCUGUCAUCAAAUCGGUGUCACCGAGAUGAUGAAGUCGGUCCCACCGAGAUUGGCAAGCUCUUGUCUUUGGACGAAUCGGACUCACCGAGUUUGUAUUUUCGGUCCCACCGAAAAUCCCAACGUUCACAUGAUUUGAACUUUCGGUCUCACCGAGUUGUCAACUUCGGUCUGACCGAGAUUGGUCAAAUGUGUGUAACGGUUGGAUUUUGUGUGGAGGCUAUAAAUACCCCUCCACCCCCUCUUCAUUCGUGGAGAGAGCCAUCAGAAAGAACUACCACUCCUACCUUACAUUUCUGAGAAGAGAACUACCUACCCUUGUGUUGAGAUCAAGUAGCUCCACUCCCACCAUAUGAAACUUGAUCUCUAGCCUUCCCAAGUUGCUUUCCACUCAAUCCUUUCUUCCACCACAGCCAAAUCAGUGAGGAGAGUUGAGUGUUGGGGAGAUUAUCAUUUGAAGCACAAGAGCAAGGAGUUCAUCAUCAUCAACACCAUCUAUUACCUUUUGGAGGGUGGUGCCUCCUAGAUUGGUUAGGUGUCGCUUGGGAGCCUCCGUCGAGAUGUGGAGUUGAACCAAGAAGUUUGUAAGGGCAAGGAGAUCGCCUACUUCAUGAAGAUCUACCCCGAGUAAGGCUAGCCCUCCGUGGGCGUAGGCCAUGAUGGCAUAGACAAGGUUGCUUCUUCGUGGACCCUUCGUGGGUGGAGCCCUCCGUGGACUCUCGCAGCCGUUACCCUCCGUGGGUUGAAGUCUCCAUCAACGUGGAUUGACGAUAGCACCACCUAUCGGAACCACGAGAAAAAAUCUCCGUGUCUCCAAAUUGCGUUUGCUCUUCUCCACCUCUCUUUACUACAUGUGCAAUUUACUUUCCGCUGCCUAUACUCUAGAAUUGCAUGUGUAGGGUGAUACUUGACUUGAUCAUCAUUGUGAACUUGCCAAAAACUUGUCUUUAUCAAAAGGCUGAAUUUUUAUAUUGUCAAGUAGUCUAAUCACCCCCCCCUCUAGACAUACUUUCGAUCCUACAAGUGGUAUCAGAGCUUUGGUCUCCAUUGUAUUGGUUUCCAUUGCAUUGGACUCCAUAAGCUUGGUUUCACAACCUAGGAGAGUAUGGCGUCUAGUGAGGGUAAUUUUCGUAGAGGUCCUUACUUUGAUGGUACAAAUUUUGCUAGUUGGAAGCAUAAAAUGAAAAUGCAUAUUCUUGGUCAUAACCCAGCCGCAUGGGGCAUUAUUUAUGUUGGUUUGCAAGGUGAGUUCUUCGAGGAAGGAAAAGUUCCGGAUCACGAAGCUACAACGGAUGAAUUGCGGAUGUUGCAAAACAAUGCUCAAGCUUGUGACAUUCUAUUCAAUGCUUUGUGUCCCGAGGAGUUCAACAAAAUCAGCCGUCUUGAGAAUGCAAAAGAGAUUUGGGAUACUUUGGUUGAAAUGCACGAAGGUACCGAGUCCGUGAAGGAAUCAAAGCUAGAUAUUCUUCAAGGUCAACUUGACAAGUUCAAGAUGAAGGAUGGUGAAGGAGUCGCUGAAAUGUACUCUAGGCUUGCGCUCAUCACAAAUGAGAUUGCCAGCUUAGGAAGCGAAGAAAUGACCGACCGAUUCAUCAUCAAAAAGAUUCUCAGAGCUUUGGAUGGAAAGUAUGACACCAUGUGCACUUUGAUCCAAAUGAUGCCAAACUACAAGAAUCUCAAGCCAACCGAAGUCAUUGGAAGAAUUGUAGCUCAUGAAACAACUCAAGAAGAUCAUAGAGAGCUCCUAAGAUCUCAUGAGAAGCUACGCUUCGAGAAGCUCAAUCUAGAGCAAGAACAUGAGUUCCUAAAAGCAAUCAAUGACGAUCUUCGAAAGAAGAGUUCUUCAUAUCUUGCCAACCGACUUCUCUUGUCUAAUUUCUUGCCACCUAUUAAAACUAAGCAUGACAAGCAUAAGAAAAAUUCUUCAUCUAGAAGCAACAAUAUUGGUUCUAGUAGUUCUCUUGAUUCCACUAACAAUGUUUCAAGCCAAGUUACACUUGAGCAAGAAAAUAGUUUAUUGAAAGGGAUUAUAGAGAAAGGUGUCUACAAAAGCCUUGCCGGAAGCAAGAACUUUGAGGAAAUUAUUCGCAAGCAAAGGAGGCACCGGAUGAAUCAAGGAAUUGGUUUUGAGCGAAAGUUCAACGCCGAGGGUGUUGAAUGGGAAGAAGGUCAAUAUACCACUCCAAAGUUUGUUUCUCAAAAGGAGAAGUACGAUCCUACUUCUUCCAAUGUGGAACAAGCUCAAGAUGAUCUUCCACCACAAGACCACAAGCUAAAAGACAAGGACAAGCUUCAAGAGGAGAAUGAUGCAUUUAUUGAAGCACCUAAAGCCAUGGUCAAGUGGGUUCCCAAGGAAACGUCAAGUUCUACUUCGUCAAGCUCAACUACAACCCCAAGGAUUCCCAUCAAGAUGAUGUGGAUCCCGAAGAAGAAGAACUAGAGAGUUCUUGAGGGUGACUCCGCCAACAUACUUCACUCAUAUUCAUCUUGGCAAGAACUUGUGCAAUCAACUUCCACAUCUUGCACUAGUUCAUGGAGUCACAAACCCUCUUGUUGGUAAGUCAAGGGACAAGGUAAUCAUAGCUCUCAUGGACAUCAUCCAUUGUGUACUUCAUUCUAUGUCCAUGGAUAUCCUUGUUUGUUCCUUGUGGGACUAACCCAUGUAGGUAUUGAAAGUGCCCGAAUCCAAAGGCUUGCUCCCAACUCUUGAUGAUCUUCAUCAACAUUGAGCAUCCACAUCUUCAACAUCUACAUGAAGUCUUCUACGCAACCCAAGGUUAGUUUGACCCUUUAAAAGGGGUUCUCACAUCUAGGGGGAGCUUUGCUCUAAAGAAUUGAGCUAAAGCAUCUUCAAAUGAUGUGAACACAUCAAUGCUUUAUGUAAAAGUGGUAACCCCACUUGUGCUUAAACGAUGAGUAUGACCUAUGAUCAAAUGUUCUCAUUUGACUCCUAAGUCAAUAUACUCAUAUAUAGAUGACCUAGUCAUCGACAAAUUGUGUGAUAGUAGCUAGAGUUUUGAUUGUGCAUGUUUGACACAUAUUUCAUUUGCUAUCUUAUUGUGUGAGCAUGUUGGAUGCAUGAUUUAAUCCAUUCGAGGACAUCCAUUUGUUGCUUUGGUCUUUUUGAUUUUUUUUCUGACCAAAUGGAUGGACAAGAAUGCCUAAGUACCUCCCCUAGCUAUCUAUGCUUUCUUGUCUCAAAUUCUAUUCAUGCUUACAUCACAAACUUUGAACAAGUCAUUUUCGGACCCUCCGAGUGAGGAGCACUCGGAGCCACCGAUCCGUCAAGGGCUAACUUCCAAAACCUUCUAAGUGAUUUCGGUCAAACCAACCCACUCAAACUCGGUCAAACCGAAAGCAUUUGGAUUGAUCUAGGUUUUCACCUCGGUGAAACCGAGUUGUGAAUUUCGGCGUGACCGAAGUGCAUAACUGCCCUGCAGUUAUCCAUCUCGGUGCCACCGAGUUUUACAACUCGGUCCCACCGACAGCAAAGGGGUAUAUAUACUCCGAGGGCCGCGCGUUGAUUUCUACUUCAAAACGCUUCGCCCCCACACCCCUUGCUGCCGUCGCCUGGUCUCCGGAUCGUCUCCGUCGUCGCCUGUGCGCCCUCGCCGCAGGUCUCCGUCGCCGUCAACAGACAUCUUCUCCGCGCCGUUGCCGCCGUAGAGGAACUCCACCAAGUUAGGGUGAGUUUCGAUCCCACUCGUGCUCUCAUCUCCGAUUCAAUGCACGUUUGGUUUGCCUGUAAUCUUUCCACGAUUGAAAUCUUCCUGAACACAAGAUUAGUUCCUUUGAACGAAAUUCGAGUAAAAGUUUUAGGGUUAGGUUUCCGCCGAACACAUCUCGGUGAGACCGAUUUUACAUUCUCGGUAUGACCGAUUUGGCCUCUGGCCAUUGCACUGCACCUUUCGGUCCAACCGAGUUGUGCAAAUCAGUGUGACCGAAAUGAGGAUUUAGUGAAACCCUAGUGUUUUCGGCAGGACCGAAACCCACUUCGGUCCAACCGAAAGUGGUGUGAAUGCUUCUGUUUGAACACUUCGGAUUCACCGAAUUUUAAACUCGGACUAACCGAAAUGUCUUCUGUGAAAACCUAAUACUAGAAUUUGAACUCAUUCUGUUUGCAAAAUCUUCUGCAGUUUGUGAUAACUCUUCUACUCUGCCUACACCUUAUCUAUUCACAGGUUGUCAGCCAUGUCAGAUGCCAGUGACAGCCAGAACAGGUCUGAGUCACCUAUUGCUGAUAUUCCAGAGGCAGGCACUAGUCCUGAACCCAGCAGCUCAUCAGAUGAUGGUGAGAGGAGCACACCAAGUGGUUUGCCCCCUGCAGCCACCAGGGCCAGAAAGAAGAGGAACUCUGAUGAAGAAGAUUCUGAUUUCAUUGUUGAGGAAGAGGUCUCCUCCAAGCCAAAGAGAAAGGUUGUUGCCAAAGAGCCUCAAGGGCAGCAAACCAAGAAAGGCACCAGAAAAGUGAAGCAGUCCACUGUUGCCAAAAAGCUGAGUAUGGAAGAGGAAACUACAAGCAAGGUGAAGAAAACUUCCAAGAGGAAGAGGAUUGUGCAUGAUGAUGCAGCAGAAGAGGAUGAGGAUGAGGAAGCACCCCAGCCUCCUCAGAAGCCUAAGCUCAUGGGUGAUGCCAUCAGGGCUGGAGCCACUUCAAAGUCCAAGCCAUCUACUCCAGUCAAGGCAGCUCCAGCAAAGCCUGCUGCCAAGCCCAAGAAGACCGUCAGAAACAUUCUAGCGUCUGAAAAGAACAAGGAUGAUGUGCCACCAGCUGUGUCAGAUGAUGAGGCACCAGUUUUGCUGAAACUUCGUCCAAAACUGCCACUUCACAAUGAUGCUCAUCCUCAAGCUGAAAACAUGAAGGAAAGGAAGGAUAGAGGUCUCAGGCUAUGGAGACAAGCUGAUCCAUAUGCUGUGAGGAGAAGAACUGCUGUUGAUCCCAGAUUUCACACCAGAGAGCAGCAGGACUUCUAUGAGACUGUGCUGAUGGACAAGAAGCCCAUAGUGGCAGACACCAGAUUUGUUGAUUGGAAAUACAUUGACAGUGAAGAGCACAGAGACUUCUUUCCACAUGUGCAUGAGAGCUUCACUGCAUGUGGUGUUGCAGACUUCGUAGGUCAAAAGCUGACAAGUUGGAAUGAUGAAAUGAUUAUGCAAUUCUAUGCCACGGCUCAUUUCUAUCCAGAUGAAAAGAUCACAUGGAUGACUGAAGGCCAAAGAUUCUCUUCAACUGUAGAAGAAUGGGCAGAACUGCUGAAUGCUCCAGUGUAGAGAGAGGAUGAUGUUGAUGUCUAUGGCAUUCCCAAGAAGAACCAUGAAUCUAUGAAGAAUAUGUACAAGGAGGUUCCAGCUAAGGAUUUAGCAAUCUGGAAGCUUGGCUCAGUGUAUUAUCUCCAGGCAGGUCUACCUACCACAAACACUAUUCUGAGGCAUACCUUGAUGCCCAAGUCUGGAGAUCAUCGCAUGAUCAGAGGGUACUCUAUCAACAUGCUGCAUAUACUUGAUGAGAAGUCACCGUUCAAGGUGAUGGACUUGAUAGUUGAGACUAUUAAGAGGACUACAGCUGACCAGAAAAGGUCGUGUGGAUUUGCCCCGCAUAUUCAGAUGCUUAUCAAUGCCAAGUUUGGCACGGGCACAUUCUUGUUGGAUAGAGAACACCUACCACUGCAGCCUGAGCAUGAGGACAAUGAUGUUGUGAUGGAUGAGGAGGAUCCAACUUCUGUUGAAGGUCAAGCAAAGAUUGAAGCUGCCAAGAAAGCCAAAGCUGAGAAGGAAGCAGCAGCAGCAGCAGCUAAACCAAAGAGUGUUGGAGAGCAGCUCCUUGAAGCUACCCAAAGGAUUGAACAACGCCUGGCCAGCAUUGUACAGUCUCAGGAGAGCCUUGAGAGGAUUGUUGAAGACAAGAUCCAUGCUCUGGAUGUGAAGCUGACUGAAGUGCAAGUAACUGUCAACAAGCUUGAGGCAGAUAUCGAGGAAGCAAAGAGGGAGAAGGAAGAGCUCAUGCAUGAGAUGCAGGAUGACCUAGUCCAGGAUGCUUAUGAACAGACUGCUCCGGUUCCCACAGGACCCCGAUCAGCUGCUAUUCCAGUGACAGACACCAGGACUACAGCCUCAGCACCUCCCACAGCUCCAUCAGUUGCUCCAGCUCCAGCUCCAGUGACCACUCCUCCAGCUCCACAGACAUCAGCAGAAGUCUUCGCCGAUGCAGCCAUCUCAACUCCAAUAUCAACCCAGACAGGAGCCGCCAGCAGAGUCCCUAGUGACGUUUAGCUCUAUACUUUUCGAACUUUUUGGUAACUUGUUGCCAAAGGGGGAGAAAUUGUAUAGAUCAUAGGACUUCGAGAGAGAGAGUGCUGUUGUUUUUUUUGCGCUUUUGCUCUUUCGUUCUUUUGCGGUCUUUUUGAGAUUCUUUUGGUUUUCAUGACAUUCUGUGUGUUUGAUACUACGUUUGAUGAGUGCUUCGUCGUACUAUGCCUUAAUGUGUGCUUAAUGCUUAUCAUAUGCUAUUCCUAUCUUGUAUGACCAUUUACUCAUGUCUUGGUGAUUGGGUGCAUGCUAUUCAUUCUUAUCAUUUUGUGCGCUCCACCAAGAUGUAUGUGACAUGGAAGAGUGACCCAUGAUCCUAAUCGAUUGUGCAUUUGCAUUCAAACGCAAAUCUUAAAUAAUGCACAAAUUUAGGGGGAGCUCUUGCUUAUCACAUACUUCUCAAAGCGACGAUAUUAUUCAUUGAUUAUAUCCUUUGUCGAAGCUUUGAUCUAUAUGUUGUCAUCAAUUACCAAAAAGGGGGAGAUUGAAAGUGCAACUAAUCCCCGGGUGGUUUUGGUAAUUAAUAACAACAUAUAUAUCAAUGAACUAAUAGUUUCUUGAGAAUCAUUUCAGAAAGUUCAGUGAUAUGGGUAUGGCAAGGACUGAAGAAGUGGACCCCUCAAAAUGCUAAGGCAAGCAUUGGCAAAAGCUCAAGACUCCAUUUUUGGUUUAGUGAUCCAAGAUCACAUUGAGUCUAUAGGAAAGCCAAUACUAUUAAAAGGGGAUGAGGUUAUGAUAAUGAUCUGGUUGCUCAAAGUGCUUAGUGAUAUAUCUCCUAAACUAUCAGCAACUCUCACUUCCAUAAUACACUCAUAAGUAAUCUCGGUCCCACCGAUUUUCCAAACCCAGUCACACCGAGAUGAACCACCUCAGCCAUAUAGCCAAACCCUAGAAUUCUCGGAUUUUCUGAUUCUGAACUCGGUCUCACCGAAACUUGAGUUGCCAAGCUUCUGUAACCUUCUGUCAUCAAAUCGGUGUCACCGAGAUGAUGAAGUCGGUCCCACCGAGAUUGGCAAGCUCUUGUCUUUGGACGAAUCGGACUCACCGAGUUUGUAUUUUCGGUCCCACCGAAAAUCCCAACGUUCACAUGAUUUGAACUUUCGGUCUCACCGAGUUGUCAACUUCGGUCUGACCGAGAUUGGUCAAAUGUGUGUAACGGUUGGAUUUUGUGUGGAGGCUAUAAAUACCCCUCCACCCCCUCUUCAUUCGUGGAGAGAGCCAUCAGAAAGAACUACCACUCCUACCUUACAUUUCUGAGAAGAGAACUACCUACCCUUGUGUUGAGAUCAAGUAGCUCCACUCCCACCAUAUGAAACUUGAUCUCUAGCCUUCCCAAGUUGCUUUCCACUCAAUCCUUUCUUCCACCACAGCCAAAUCAGUGAGGAGAGUUGAGUGUUGGGGAGAUUAUCAUUUGAAGCACAAGAGCAAGGAGUUCAUCAUCAUCAACACCAUCUAUUACCUUUUGGAGGGUGGUGCCUCCUAGAUUGGUUAGGUGUCGCUUGGGAGCCUCCGUCGAGAUGUGGAGUUGAACCAAGAAGUUUGUAAGGGCAAGGAGAUCGCCUACUUCGUGAAGAUCUACCCCGAGUAAGGCUAGCCCUCCGUGGGCGUAGGCCAUGAUGGCAUAGACAAGGUUGCUUCUUCGUGGACCCUUCGUGGGUGGAGCCCUCCGUGGACUCUCGCAGCCGUUACCCUCCGUGGGUUGAAGUCUCCAUCAACGUGGAUUGACGAUAGCACCACCUAUCGGAACCACGAGAAAAAAUCUCCGUGUCUCCAAAUUGCGUUUGCUCUUCUCCACCUCUCUUUACUACAUGUGCAAUUUACUUUCCGCUGCCUAUACUCUAGAAUUGCAUGUGUAGGGUGAUACUUGACUUGAUCAUCAUUGUGAACUUGCCAAAAACUUGUCUUUAUCAAAAGGCUGAAUUUUUAUAUUGUCAAGUAGUCUAAUCACCCCCCUCUAGACAUACUUUCGAUCCUACAAAUGCGUCGGGGCCAAUCAAACUCUUCUGUGACAACACUGGAGCUAUUGCCCUUGCCAAGGAGCCCAGGUUUCACAAGAAGACCAGGCACAUCAAGCGUCGUUUCAACUCCAUCCGUGAAAAUGUUCAAGAUGGAGACAUAGAAAUUUGCAAAGUACAUACGGAUCUGAAUGUCGCAGAUCCGUUGACUAAACCUCUCUCGCGAGCAAAACAUGAUCAACACCAGAACUCUAUGGGUGUUCGAUUCAUCACAAUGUAACUAGAUUGGUGACUCUAGUGCAAGUGGGAGACUGUUGGAAAUAUGCCCUAGAGGCAAUAAUAAAAGUAUUAUUAUAUUUCAUUGUUCAUGAUAAUUGUCUUUUAUUCAUGCUAUAACUGUAUUAUCCGGAAAUCGUAAUACAUGUGUGAAUACAUAGACCACCAUAUGUCCCUAGUGAGCCUCUAGUUGACUAGCUUGUUGUGAUCAACAGAUAUUCAUGGUUUCCUGGCUAUGGACAUUGGAUGUCGUUGAUAACGGGAUCACAUCAUUAGGAGAAUGAUGUGAUGGAUAAGACCCAAUCCUAAGCAUAGCACAAUGAUCGUGUAGUUCGUUUGCUAGAGCUUUGCCAAUGUCAAGUAUCUCUUCCUUCGACCAUGAGAUCGUGUAACUCCUGGAUACCGUAGGAGUGCUUUGGGUGUAUCAAACGUCACAACGUAACUGGGUGACUAUAAAGGUGCAGUACAGGUAUCUCCGAAAGUGUCUAUUGGGUUGACACUGAUCAAGACUGGGAUUUGUCACUCCGUAUGACGGAGAGGUAUCUCUGGGCCCACUCGGUAAUGCAUCAUCAUAAUGAGCUCAAGGUGACCAAGGUGUUGGCCACGGGAUCAUGCAUUACGGUACGAGUAAAGUGACUUGCCGGUAACGAGACUGAACAAGGUAUUGGGAUACCGACGAUCGAGUCUCGGGCAAGUAACAUACCGAUUGACAAAGGGAAUUGUAUAUGGGGUUUGAUCGAAUCCUCGACAUCAUGGUUCAACCGAUGACAUCAUCGAGGAGCAUGUGGGAGCCAACAUGGGUAUCCAGAUCCCGCUGUUAGUUAUUGACCGGAGAGUCUCGGUCAUGUCUGCAUGUCUCCCGAACCCGUAGGGUCUACACACUUAAGGUUCAGUGACGCUAGGGUUAUUAGGAAGACUUGUAUGUGAUUACCGAAAGUUGUUCGGAGUCCCGGAUGAGAUCCUGGACGUCACGAGGAGUUCCGGAAUGGUCCGGAGGUGAAGUUUUAUAAAAGGGAAGUUGUCAUACGGACACCGGAAGAAUUCGGGGUUUUAUCGGUAUUGUACCGGGGCCACCGGAGGGGUUCCGGGGGUCCACCGGGAGGGGCCACCCCUCCCGGAGGGCCACAUGGGCCGCAAGGGGCAGGGAGCCAGCCCCUGGAGGGCUGGGCGCGCCCCCCACCUUGGGCCCAUGCGCCUAGGGUUGGGGGGGAAACCCUAAAGGGGGCGCCCCCCUAGCUUGGGGGGCAAGCCACCCCUCCUCCCCUCUCCCUUUGGCCGCCGCCCCCCUCUAGGGUUUCCCCUAGAGGGCCGGCCCCCCUUACCCCUUCCCCUAUAAAUAGAGGGGUGAGGGGAGGGCUGCUGUACACACAUCUCCAAGGCGCAGCCCCUCCCCUCCCCAACACCUCUCCUGCUCCGUACGCGCUUGGCGAAGCCCUGUCGGAGUACUGCUGCACCAACUGCACCACACCGUCGUGCUACCAUUGGAGCUGCCUUCCUCAACCUCUCCUUCCCCCUUGCUGGAUCAAGAAGGAGGAGACGUCUCCCGUCCCGUACGUGUGUUGAACGCGGAGGUGCUGUCCGUUCAGCACUUGAUCAUCGGUGAUUCGAAUCACGGCGAGUACGACUCCAUCAUCACCAUCCCCUUGCAAGCUUCCGCAUGCGAUCUACAAGUGGUAUGUAGAUGCAAACUCACUCCCUUGACUCGUUGCUUAGAUGAACUCAUAGAUGGAUCUUGGUGAAACCGUAGGAAAUUUUUUAUUUUCUGCAACGUUCCCCAACAGUGUCACUCCACUUCACCAGCACUUGCACCACUCGCUGUUGCAGCACCUGCUCGGGAGCUAAAAACUGCAUAUCUGGGGAGGGAAGUUGGGGCAAUACCUCAUGAGCUUGGCCGAGCACCUUCCACAGAAGAGAGACAUGAAAUACUGGGUGCACGCGACUGGUGACCGGCAUUGCCAAAUGGUAAGACACCUCGCCAACGCGCUCCAGAACUUCAAAGGGGCCAUAGAAUUUGAAUGCCAACUUGUGAUUCGCUCUGGGAGCAAUCGAUGUCUGAAGAUAUGGCUGUAGCUUCAGAAAAACAGAGUCCCCAACCUCAGAUACACACUUAGAUCGAUGCUUAUCAGCCUGUGUCUUCAUGCGCUGUUGCGCACUGAUCCAAUAAUCACUUGGCGAUCAUCAAGCCACAGUUGCAGAUCAGCAGACUGCAUUGUACUCUCCGCGGUCAACCCAAAGUGACGUGGUUCAUGGCCAUAGAUGAUCUCAAAAGGAGUCUGGCCUGUUGCUGAGUGCCAAUUAGUGUUAUACCAGUAUUCACACAGUGGUAUCCAUUUAGCCCAGCGAGAGGGGUGAGCACUGACAAAACACAUCAGAAAACAUUCCACUUGUUGGUUUGCCCGCUCCGUUUGUCCAUCAGUUUGAGGGUGACGCGCUGUACUCAUACGCAAUAGAACACCAGCUUUCUGAAAAAGUUCCUUCCAGAACUGGCUUGUAAAUAUGUGAUCACAAUCUGAAACUAUAGAGAGAGGCAUCCCAUGCAAAUGGUAAACUGUGUUGAGGAACGCUUCAACAACUGUAAUUGCGGUAAAUGGAUGAUGCAAUGGAAUGAAGUGUCCAUACUUCGACAGCUUGUCAAUGAUCACCAUCAAACAGUUAUACUGCCCAGAAACUGGUAGUCCUUCGACAAAAUCCAUAGUUACCAUUUCCCAUGGCAAGCCAGGGACAGGCAGGGGUUGCAAUAAGCCCGGGUAUGGAAUUCGUUCGGGUUUUGCUUGAUGUCAUAUGGUGCAGUUCGAGACAUAUUGUUUAAUGCAACUGCACAUACCUUGCCACCGGAACAGCUGCCUGACACGCUUGAAAGUGACGAGAAAGCCUAAGUGCCCACCAAUUGGACUGUCGUGGAAGGCACUGACAAUUGUGUGCUGCAACUUGGGAUCUGCACCUACCCAAAUCCAUUUGUCAACUCUUAAUAGUCCAGACUUCAAGGAAAAUUUUCCGUCGUGGCCACCAUAAGAAACAAGUUUCUAAAGUAGAUUAGUGCAAAACUUGUCCUGAGAGUAGCUGUGUACAAUGUCAUCGAGUCAGGCUGGUUGAACAGUUGAUAUGGGGAAUAGUUCAGGCAUAUUUUCAGCAGAUGUAUGUGGCUUUCUGGACAGGGCAUCUGCAACAUGAUUUUCCACUCCUUUUUUAUAGACAAUGUUGUAUUGUAACCUGCUACCUCUUGAGCACUGCGUUGGUUUUCCCCGAAGAGGAAGGGAUGAUGCAGUAAAGUAGCGUAAGUAUCCUCAGUUUUUGAGAACCAAGGUAUCAAUCCAGUAGGAGGCUACGUGCAAGUCUCUCAUACUUGCACAAAACAAAUAAAUCCUCGCAACCAACGCAAAUAGGGGUUGUCAAUCCCUAUGAGGCCACUUACGAGAGUGAGAUCUGAUAGAUAUGAUAAAGAUAAUAUUUUUGGUAUUUUUAUGAUAAAGAUGCAAAUUAAAAUAAAGGCAAAUUAAAUAGGAAAGUAGUAGGGGAACAAUAUGAUGAAGAUAGACCCGGGGGCCAUAGGUUUCACUAGUGGCUUCUCUCGAGAGCAUAAGUAAUCUACUGUGGGUGAACAAAUAACUGUUGAGCAAUUGACAGAAUUGAGCAUAAUUAUGAGAAUAUCUAGGCAUGAUAAUGUAUAUAGGCAUCACGUCCGAGACAAGUAGACCGACUCCUGCCUGCAUCUACUACUAUUACUCCACUCAUCGACCGCUAUCCAGCAUGCAUCUAGAGUAUUAAGUUAAAAACGGAGUAACGCCUUAAGCAAGAUGACAUGAUGUAGAGGGAUAAACUCAUGCAAUUUGAAGAAAACCCCAUCUUGUUAUCCUCGAUGGCAACAAUACAAUACGUGCCUUGCUGCCCUUACUGUCACCGGGAAAGGACACCGCAAGAUUGAACCCAAAACUAAGCAGUUCUCCCAUUGCAAGAAAGAUCAAUCUAGUAGGCCAAACCAAACUGAUAAUUCAAAGAGACUUGCAAAGAUAACCAAUCAUACAUGAAAGAAUUCAGAGAAGAUUCAAAUAUGAUUCAUAGACAGACUUGAUCAUAAACCCACAAUUCAUCAGUCUCAACAAACACACCGCAAAAAGAAGAUUACAUUGAAUAGUUAUCCACAAGAGAGGGGGAGAACAUUGUGUUGAGAUCCAAAAAUAGAGAAGAAGCCAUCUAGCUACUAACUAUGGACCCGUAGGUUUGAGAUAAACUACUCACACUUCAUCGGAGGGGCUAUGGUGUUGAUGUAGAAGCCCUCUGUGAUCGAUGCCCCCUCCGGCGGAGCUCCAGAACAGGCCCCAAUAUGGGAUCUCGUGGAUACAGAAAGUUACGGCGAUGUAAUUAGGGUUUUGGCUCCUGUUCUAAUCGUUUGGGAAUACGUGGAUAUAUAUAGGAGGAAGAAGUACGUCGGUGGAGCAACAGGGGGCCCACAAGGGUGGGGGCGCGUCUGGUAGGGUAGGGCGCGCCCCCUACCUCAUGGCCUCCUGUUACGUGCCUUGGCAUAGGGUCCAAGUCUCCCGGGUCUUAUUUGUUGAGAAAAUCACGUUCCCGAAGGUUUCAUUCCGUUUGGACUCCGUUUGAUAUUCCUUUUCUUCGAAACCCUAAAACAGGCAAAAAAACAGCAAUUCUGGGCUGGCCCUCCGGUUAGUAGGUUAGUCCCAAAAAUAAUAUAAAAGUGGAUAAUAAAGCCCAAUAAUGUUUAAAACAGUACAUAAUAUAGCAUGGAGCAAUAAAAAAUUAUAGAUACGUUGGAGACGUAUGAAGCAUCCCCAAGCUUAAUUCCUGCUCGUCCUCGAGUAGGUAAAUGAUAAAAACAGAAUUUUUGAUGCGGAGUGCUACUUGGCAUAAUUUUAAUGUAAUUCUUCUUAAUUGUGGUAUGAAUAUUCAAAUUCGAAAGAUUCAAGACAAAAGUUCAUAUUGACAUAAAAAUAAUAAUACUUCAAGCAUACUAACUAAGCAAUUAUGUCUUCUCAAAAUAACAUGGUUAAAGAAAGUUAUCCCUACAAAAUCAUAUAGUCUGGCUAUGCUCCAUCUUCACCACACAAAAUAUUUAAAUCAUGCACAACCCUGAUGACAAGCCAAGCAAUUGUUUCAUACUUUUGACAUUCUCAAAACUUUUUCAAUUUUCACGCAAUACAUGAGCGUGAGCCAUGGACAUAGCACUAUAGGUGGAAUAGAGUGGUGGUUGUGGAGAAGACAAAAAGGGAGAAGAUAAUCUCAGAUCAACUAGGCGUAUCAAUGGGCUAUGGAGAUGCCCAUCAAUAGAUAUCAAUGUGAGUGAGUAGGGAUUGCCAUGCAACGGAUGCACUAGAGCUAUAAGUAUAUGAAAGCUCAAAAAGAAACUAAGUGGGUGUGCAUCCAACUUGCUUGCUCAUGAAGACCUAGGGCAUUUUGAGGAAGCCCAUCAUUGGAAUAUACAAGCCAAGUUAUAUAAUGAAAAAUUCCCACUAGUAUAUGAAAGUGAUAACAUGAGAGACUCUCUACUAUGAAGAUCAUGGUGCUACUUUGAAGCAUAAGUGUGGUAAAAGGAUAGUAUGAUUGCCCCUUCUCUCUUUUUCUCUCAUUUUUUUAUUUGGGCCUUUUCUCCCUUUUUAUGGCCUUUUUUUUUCUUUUUUUCUUUUUCGUCCGGAGUCUCAUCCCGACUUGUGGGGGAAUCAUAGUCUCCAUCAUCCUUUCCUCACUGGGACAAUGCUCUAAUAAUGAUGAUCAUCACACUUUUAUUUUUCUUACAACUCGAUUCAUAGAACAAAAUAUGACUCUAUAUGAAUGCCUCCGACGGUGUACCGGGAUAUGCAAUGAUGCAUGAGUGACAUGUAUGAAAGAAUUAUGAACGGUGGCUUUGCCACAAAUACGAUGUCAACUACAUGAUCAUGCUAAGCAAUAUGACAAUGAUGGAGUGUGUCAUAAUAAACGGAAUGGUGGAAAGUUGCAUGGCAAUAUAUCUCGGAAUGGCUAUGGAAAUGCCAUAAUAGGUAGGUAUGGUGGCUGUUUUGAGGAAGGUAUAUGGUGGGUGUAUGAUACCGGCGAAAGGUGUGCGGUAUUAGAGAGGCUAGCAAAGGUGGAAGGGUGAGAGAAGUGUGUAUAAUCCAUGGACUCAACAUUAGUCAUAAAGAAUUCAUAUAAUUAUUGCAAAAAUCUACAAUUUAUCAAAGCAAAGUAUUACGCGCAUGCUCCUAGGGGAUAUAUUGGUAGGAAAAUACCAUCGCUCGCCCCCCACCGCCACUGAUAAGGAAGACAAUCAAAAAAUAAAUCAUGCUCCGACUUCAUCACAUAACGGUUCAUCAUACAUGCAUGCUACGGGAAUCACAAACCUCAACACAAGUAUUUCUCAAAUUCACAACUACUCAACUAGCACAACUUUAAUAUCACCAUCUUCAUUUCUCAAAACAAUUAUCAAGUAUCAAACUUAUCAUAGUAUUCAACACACUCAUAAGAAAGUUUUAUUAUUAAUCUUGUAUACCAAGCAUAUUAGGAUUUUAAGCAAAUUACCACGCUAUUUAAGACUCUCAAAAUAAUCUAAGUGAAGCAUGAGAGAUCAAUAGUUUCUAUAAAACAAAUCCACCACCGUGCUCUAAAAGAUAUAAGUGAAGCACUAGAGCAAAAUCAUAUGACUCAAAAGAUAUAAGCGAAGCACAUAGAGUAUUCUAACAAAUUCCAAAUUAUGUAUGGCUCUCUAAAAAGGUGUGUAUAUAAAGGAUGAUUGUGGUAAACUAACAAGAAAAGACUCAAAUAAUACAAGACGCUCCAAGCAAAACACAUAUCAUGUGGCGAAUAAAAAUAUAGCUCCAAGUAAAGUUAUCGAUAGAAGUAGAUGAAAGAGGGAUGCCUUCCGGGGCAUCCGCAAGCUUUGGCUUUUAGGUGUCCUUAUAUUAUCUUGGGGGUGCCAUGGGCAUCCCCAAGCUUAGUCUCUUGCCACUCCUUGUUCCAUAAUCCAUCAAAUCUUUACCCAAAACUUGAAAACUUCACACCACAAAACUUAAAGUAGAAAAUCUCGUGAGCUCCGUUAGCGAAAGAAAACAAAAGACCACUUCAAGGUACUGUAAUGAACUAAUUCUUUGUUUAUAUUAGUGUUAUACCUACUGUAUUCCAACUUCUGUAUGGUUUAUAAACUAUUUUACUAGCCAUAGAUUCAUCAAAAUAAGCAAACAACACACGAAAAACAGAAUCUGUCAAAAACAGAACAGUCUGUAGUAAUCUGUAGCUAGCGCAAGAUCUGGAACCCUAAAAAUUCUAAAAUAAUUUGCUGAACGUGAGGAAUUUAUCUAUUAAUAAUCUUCAAAAAUAAUUAACUAAAUAGCACUCUCCAAAUAAAAAUGACAGCAGUUCUCGUGAGCGCUAAAGUUUCUAUUUUUUACAGCAAGUUCAACAAGACUUUCCCCAAGUCUUCCCAACGGUUCUAUUUGGCACAAACACUAAAUUAAAAAAAACACAACCAAAACAGAGGCUAGAUAAAUUAUUUAUUUCUAAACAUGAGCAAAAAGCAAGUAAUAAAAAUAAAAUUGGGUUGCCUCCCAACAAGCGCUAUCGUUUAACGCCCCUAGCUAGGCAUAACAAGCAAGAAUAGAUGUAGGUAUUGCCAUCUUUGGUAGGCAAUCCAUAAGUGGCUCUCAUAAUAGAUUCAUAAGGUAAUUUAAUAUUUUUCUAGGAAAUUGUUCCAUGCCUUUCCUUAAUGGAAAUUGGAAUCUAUUGUUUCCUUCCUUCAUAUCAAUAAUUGCACCAAUUGUUCUAAGGAAAGGUCUACCAAGAAUAAUAGGACAUGAAGGAUUGCAAUCUAUGUCAAGAACAAUAAAAUCUAGGGGCACAUAAUUCCUAUUUGCAACAAUAAGAACAUCAUUAAUUCUUCCUAUAGGUUUCAUAAUAGUGGAAUCCGCAAGGUGCAAGUUUAGAGAGCAAUCAUCAAAAUCACAGAAACCUAACAAAUCACACAAAGUCUUUGGAAUCGUGGAAACACUAGCACCCAAAUCACAUAAAGCAUAGCAUUCAUGAUCUUUAAUUUUAAUUUUAAUAGUUGGUUCCUACUCAUCAUAAAGUUUUCUAGGGAUAGAACCUUCCAAUUCAAGUUUUUCUUCAUAAGAUUUCAUCAAGGCAUCAACGAUAUGUUCAGUAAACGCUUUAUUUUGACUAUAAGCAUGAGGAGAAUUUAGCACGGAUUGCAACAAGGAAAUACAAUCAAUCAAAGAGCAAUUUUCAUAGUUAAAUUCCUUGAAAUCCAUAAUAGUGGGUUUAGCAACAUCUAGGGUUUUAAUUUCUUCGAUCCCACUUUUAUCAAAUUUAGCAUCAAGAUCAACAAAUUCCGAAUUCUUAGAACGCCUUCUAGGUAAAGGUGGAUCAUAUUCAGUCCCAUCAUUAUCAAGAUUCAUAUUGCAAAACAAAGAUUUAAUAUGGGACACAUCAAUAACUUUUAGAUCUUCAUCAUUAUUUUCAUAGGAACUAGAAGAACACGCUUUUAUAAAGGCAUCUUUCUUAGCACGCAUCCUAGCGGUUCUUUCUUUGCACUCAUCAAUGGAAAUUCUCAUGGCUUUGAGAGACUCAUUGAUAUCAUGCUUAGGUGGAAUAGAUCUAAGUUUCAAAGAAUCAACAUCAAGAGAAAUUCUAUCAACGUUCCUAGCCAAAUCAUCAAUCUUAAGCAAUUUUUCUUCAAUCAUAGCAUUAAAAUUCUUUUGCAAAGUAAUAAAUUCUUUAAUAUUAGAUUCAAAAUAAGAGGGCACCUUAUUAUAAUUUCCAAAAGAAUUGUUGUAGGAAUUACCAUAAUUAUUAGAGGAAUUACUAGGAUAAGGCCUAGGGUUGAAAUUUCCUCUAUACGCGUUAUUACCAAAAUUGUUCCUACCAACAAAAUUCACAUCCAUAGAUUCAUUAUUAUUCUCAAUCAAAGUAGACAAGGGCAUAUCAUUAGGAUCAGAAGAAACACUCUUAUUAGCAAAUAAUUUCAUAAGUUCAUCCAUCUUUCCACUCAAAACAUUUAUUUCUUCUAUCGCAUGCACCUUUUUAUUAGUAGAUCUUUCAGUGUGCCAUUGAGAAUAAUUAACCAUAAUAUUACCUAGGAGUUUAGUAGCUUCUCCUAAAGUGAUUUCCAUAAAAGUGCCUCCCGCGGCCGAAUCUAAAAGAUUUCUAGAAGCAAAAUUCAAUCCGACAUAAAUUUUUUGAACAAUCAUCCACAAAUUUAAACCAUGAGUAGGGCAAUUAGGUAUCAUUAAUUUCAUUCUCUCCCAAGCUUGUGCAACAUGUUCAUGAUCAAGUUGCUUAAAAUUCAUAAUAUCAUUUCUAAGAGAGAUGAUCUUAGCGGGAGGAAAAUACUUAGAGAUAAAAGCAUCUUUGCACUUGUUCCAUGAAUCAAUACUAUUUUUAGGUAAAGACGAAAACCAAGCUUUAGCACGAUCUCUAAGCGAAAAAGGAAAUAGCUUCAAUUUAACAAUAUCAUUAUCCACAUCUUUCUUCUUUUGCAUAUCACACAAAUCAAUGAAGCUAUUUAGAUGGGUAGCGGCAUCUUCACUAGGAAGACCGGAAAUCGGAUCUUUCAUGACAAGAUUCAGCAAAGCAGUAUUAAUAUAACAAGAUUCAACAUCGGUAAGAGGAGCAAUCGGCGUGCUAAUAAAAUCAUUGUUGUUGGUAUUGGUGAAGUCACAUAAUUUAGUAUUAUCUUGAGCCAUCGUCACAAGCAAACAAACUAACACACAAUCAAACAAAGAGGCAAACGGGAAAAAGAGGCAAAUAGAGAAAGAGAGGGAGGAUAGAGAGAGAGGGCGAAUAAAACGGCAAGGGUGAAGUGGGGGCAGAGCAAAACGAGAGGCAAAUGGAAAAUAAUGUAAUGCGGGAGAUAAGGGUAUGUGAUGGGUACUUGGUAUGUUCACUUUUGCGAAGACCUCCCCGGCAACGGCGCCCGAAAUGGCUCGUUGUCGGGAGUCAAAUAUUGACUUGCAUAAACCUCCCCGGCAACAGCGCCAGAAAUCCUUCUUGCUACCUCUUGAGCACUACGCUGGUUUUCCCCGAAGAGGAAGGGAUGAUGCAGUAAAGUAGCAUAAGUAUCCUCAGUUUUUGAGAACCAAGGUAUCAAUCCAGUAGGAGGCUACGCGCAAGUCUCUCUUACCUGCACAAAACAAAUAAAUCCUCGCAACCAACACAAAUAGGGGUUGUCAAUCCCUAUGAGGCCACUUACGAGAGUGAGAUCUGAUAGAUAUGAUAAAGAUAAUAUUUUUGGUAUUUUUAUGAUAAAGAUGAAAAGUAAAAUAAAGGCAAAGUAAAUAGCAAAGUAGUAGGAGAACAAUAUGAUGAAGAUAGACCCGGGGGCCAUAGGUUUCACUAGUGGAUGCUCUCGAGAGCAUAAGUAUUCUACGGUGGGUGAACAAAUUACUGUUGAGCAAUUGACAGAAUUGAGCAUAAUUAUGAGAAUAUCUAGGCAUGAUCAUGUAUAUAUGCAUCACGUCCGAGACAAGUAGACCGACUCCUGCCUGCAUCUACUACUAUUACUCCACUCAUCGACUGCUAUCCAGCAUGCAUCUAGAGUAUUAAGUUAAAAACAGAGUAACGCCUUAAGCAAGAUGACAUGAUGUAGAGGGAUAAACUCAUGCAAUAUGAAGAAACCCCCAUCUUGUUAUCCUCGAUGGCAACAAUACAAUACGUGCCUUGCUGCCCUUACUGUCACCGGGAAAGGACACCGCAAGAUUGAACCCAAAACUAAGCACUUCCCCCAUUGCAAGAAAGAUCAAUCUAGUAGGCCAAACCAAACUAAUAAUUCGAAGAGACUUGCAAAGUAACCAAUCAUACAUAAAAGAAUUCAGAGAAGAUUCAAAUAUUAUUCAUAGAUAGACUUGAUCAUAAACCCACAAUUCAUCGGUCUCAACAAACACACUGCAAAAAGAAGAUUACAUUGAAUAGUUCUCCACAAGAGAGGGGGAGAACAUUGUAUUGAGAUCCAAAAAGAGAUAAGAAGCCAUCUAGCUACUAACUAUGGACCCGUAGGUCUGAGAUAAACUACUCACACUUCAUCGGAGGGGCUAUGGUGUUGAUGUAGAAGCCUUCCGUGAUCGAUGCCCCAUCCGGCGGAGCUCCAGAACAGGCCCCAAGAUGGGAUCUCGUGGAUGCAAAAAGUUAUGGCAGUGGAAUUAGGGUUUUGUCUCCUGUUCUGAUCGUUUGAGGGUACGUGGAUAUAUAUAGGAGGAAGAAGUACGUCGGUGGAGCAAUAGGGGGCCCACGAGGGUGGGGGCGCGCCUGGUAGGAUAGGGCGCGCCACCUACCUCGUGGCCUCGUGUUACGUGCCUUAGCUUAGGGUCCAAGUCUCCCGGGUCUUAUCUAUUGAGAAAAUCACGUUCCCGAAGGUUUCAUUCCGUUUGGACUCCGUUUGAUAUUCCUUUUCUUUGAAACCCUAAAACAGGCAAAAACGGCAAUUCUGGGCUGGCCCUCCGGUUAAUAGGUUAGUCCCAAAAAUAAUAUAAAAGUGGAUAAUAAAGCUCAAUAAUGUUUAAAACAGUAGAUAAUAUAGAAUGGAUGAAUGAAAAAUUAUAGAUACGUUGGAGAUGUAUCAUAACCCUAGCAGCUUAGUCAGAGCUUUCUACUUCCACUUGGUAUGCAGUCGUUGUUCAGACAAACUGGCCAAACUGCGCUUAUCCGUUUUGAUAAUGAACUCAGACACCUGCAGAUACUGACGCUAGUGUUCAACAGCCAACAAAAUCGCCAGAUACUCUUUCUCAUAAACUGACAGAGUUUGAUUCCUUGGGCCCAAUGCCUUGCUCACAUACGCCAGUGGGUGCCCUUCCUGCAUUAUUACUGCACCUACUCCUAUGUCACAAGCAUCAGUUUGAAUAACAAACUGUUUAGAGAAAUCUGGGAGAGCCAGAACAUGUGCUGACAUCAGUGUUUGUUUGAGGGUUGUAAAAGCUUGUUUUUCAGUGCUUGUCCAAUGGAACAGCACCCCCUUCUUGAGUAAAUUGGUAAGAGGUUUGCUAAUGAGACCAUAAUGGGCUAUGAAUUUCCUGUAAUAGCCAGCUAGACCCAAAAAUCAUCUAACCUCCUUAGCAGACACAGGUACAGGCCACUCCUGAAUGCUUGUAAUCUUUUCAGGAUCAGUUGCAACCCCUUGACUGCUGAUGAUGUGGCCCAAAUAACUAAUCUAGGUUUGAGAAAAAGCACACUUUGACAACUUCACUUUCCACUGGUGUUGUUGCAACAACUGCAGAACUCUUGCCAAGUGUUCCAAAUGGAGAGCAUAAGUUGCAUUGAAAAUUAAGAUAUCAUCAAAGAAUGAGAUAGCAAAUUCUUUGGGGCAAGGGGACAGAGUGUCAUUCAUAGCAAAAUGGAAAGUAUUUGGACCACCAGUCAUCCCAAAGGACACAACCAGGAACUCAAAGUGCCCAAAGUGUGUUUGAAAUGUUGUUUUAUGUUCUUCACCAGGAGCCAACCGAAUUUGGUGGUAACCAACUCUGAGAUCGAGCUUAGAAAACCAACAGGAUCCAGCUAAUUUGUCAAGUAGCUCGUCAAUGAUAGGAAUAGGGUAUUUGCUCUUUACAGUUAGUGCAUUUAAAUGUCUGUAGUCAAAGACUGACCUCCAAGUCUUAUCUUUCUUCUGAACCAUAAUCAUGGGCGACGAAAAAGCACUAGUGCUAUGCCUGAUGAUACCUGAAUCCAACAUCUCUUUAACUUGCCUCUCCAUCUCAUCCUUGAUGGCAGGUGGAAGCCUGUAUGGUCUUGUGGAAACAGGUGAAGCUCCUGGAAUAAGGAGAAUAGUGUGAUCAUAUUUUCUCCUAGGUGGAAGGCCAGAAGGAGCUUCAAACACAGUAGCAUAAGUGUUGAGAAUUUCUUUAAUUUCAGCAAGUAACUCAGUUUGUUCUGUGCUCUUGGAAGAGAGCAGCGAUGACAGCUCAAUCAUGGCUAGGAAACUAGGAUUAGCAUCGUCACCUAGCUAGUAAUGUGACAGUAAUACCAUUCAGAUCAAACGAUAACCAAUGUUCAGCCCAGUCCACUUGCAUGGGGCUAUGGGUGGCCAACCAAUCUAGACCCAAAAUUCCAUUAUAAGAUCCGAGAGGAAAGAUCUUAAAGUCACUGGUGAAAUUGUGCCCAUCCGUUGACCAAGAUCCUGACAGCAGUUGCUAGUUGUAGGGAACUAAAUUCCCAUUAGCAACCUUAACCAUUUUAACAGGCAUAUAAGAAACUCCCUUAAUUUGAGCAGUAACAACACAAUCUAGGAAGGAGUGAGUGCUCCCAGAGUCAACCAGAAGAGUGAGCUUGUGUCCUUGCAACUGUACUUUCAAUUUCAUAGUUGCAAUCGCAGGAACAGAUGGAUCUCCCAAUGCUACAGCUGAAAUGCAAAUUGCAUUGACUUCUCCAGUACUCUCAGCUUCAGUGUCACUUGUCUCUGCUGGCAUAUUCUGCACAUACUCCAGCAUCUCUUGGACUACAUGCAACUGAACUUCCUGCUUACAGCGGUGAUCUCUGAUACGUCUCCAAGGUAUCUAUAAUUUUUGAUUGCUCCAUGUUAUAUUAUCUACUGUUUUGGACUAUAUUGGGCUUUAUUUUCCACUUUUAUAUUAUUUUUGGGACUAACCUAUUAACCGGAGGCCCAGCCUAGAAUUGCUGUUUUUUUGCCUAUUUCAGUGUUUCAAAGAAACGGAAUAUCAAAUGGAGUCCAAAUGGAAUAAAACCUUCAGGAACGUGAUUUUCUCACCGAACGUGAUCCAGGAGACUUGGACCCUGCUCCAAGGAACAAAAGAGGCGGUCACGAGGGUGGGGGCGCCCCCCUAGGGUGCGCCCCUGCCUUGUGGGCCCCUCGGAGCUCCACCGACAUGCUCCUUCCUCCUAUAUAUACCUACGUACCCCCAAACGAACAGAGGAGGAGCCAAAAACCUAAUUCCACCACUGCAACUUUCUGUAUCCACGAGAUCCCAUCUUGGGGCCUGUUUCGGAGCUCCGCCGGAAGAGGGCCGUCAUCAUGGAGGGCUUCUACAUCAUCAUAGCCUCUCCGUUGAAGUGUGAGUAGUUUACCUUAGACCUUCGGGUCCAUAGUUAGUAGCUAGAUGGCUUAUUCUCUCUCUUUGAAUCUCAAUACAAAGUUCUCCCCCUCUCUUGUGGAGAUCUAUUCGAUGUAGUUUCCUUUUUGCGGUGUGUUUGUUGAGACCGAUGAAUUGUGGGUUUAUGAUCAAGUCUAUCUAUGAAUAAUAUUUGAAUCUUCUAUGAAUUCUUUUAUGUAUGAUUGGUUAUCUUUGCAAGUCUCUUCGAAUUAUCCAUUUGGUUUGGCCAACUAGAUUGGUAGUUCUUGCCAUGGGAGAAGUGCUUAGCUUUGGGUUCGAUCUUACGGUGUUCUUUCCCGGUGACAGAAGGGGCAGCAAGGCACGUAUUGCAUCGUUGCCAUCGAGGAUAACAAGAUGGGGUUUAUUUCAUAUUGCAUGAAUUUAUCUCUCUACAUCAUGUCAUCUUGCUUAAAGCGUUACUUUGUUUUUAACUUAAUACUCUAGAUGCAUGUGAAGGAAAUAUGCCCUAGAGGCAAUUAUAAAGUUAUUAUUUAUUUCCUUAUAAUCAUGAUAAAUGUUUAUUAUUCAUGCUAGAAUUGUAUUAACCAGAAACAUAAUACAUGUGUGAAUACAUAGACAAACAAAGUGUCACUAGUAUGCCUCUACUUGACUAGCUCGUUAAUCAAAGAUGGUUAUGUUUCCUAAUCAUGGACAAAGAGUUGUUAUUUGAUUAACGAGGUCACAUCAUUAGUUGAAUGAUCUGAUUGACAUGACCCAUUCCAUUAGCUUAGCACCCGAUCGUUUAGUAUGUUGCUAAUGCUUUCUUCAUGACUUAUACAUGUUCCUAUGACUAUGAGAUUAUGCAACUCCCGUUUACCGGAGGAACACUUUGGGUGCUACCAAACAUCACAACGUAACUGGGUGAUUAUAAAGGAGCAUUACAGGUGUCUCCAAAGAUAGAUGUUGGGUUGGCGUAUUUCGAGAUUAGGAUUUGUCACUCCGAUUGUCGGAGAGGUAUCUCUGGGCCCUCCCGGUAAUACACAUCACAUAAGCCUUGCAAGCAUUACAACUAAUAUGUUAGUUGUGAGAUGAUGUAUUACGGAACGAGUAAAGAGACUUGCCGGUAACGAGAUUGAACUAGAUAUUGGAUAUCGACGAUCGAAUCUCGGGCAAGUAACAUACUGAUGACAAAGGGAACAACGUAUGUCGUUAUGCGGUCUGACCGAUAAAGAUCUUCGUAGAAUAUGUAGGAGCCAAUAUGGGCAUCCAGGUCCCGCUAUUGGUUAUUGACCGGAGACGUGUCUCGGUCAUGUCUACAUUGUUCUCGAACCCGUAGGGUCCGCACGCUUAAGGUUACGAUGACAGUUACAUUAUGAGUUUAUGCAUUUUGAUGUACCGAAGGUUGUUCGGAGUCCUGGAUGUGAUCACGGACAUGACGAGGAGUCUCGAAAUGGUCGAUACGUAAAGAUUGAUAUAUUGGAAGCCUAUGUUUGGACAUCGGAAGUGUUCCGGGUGAAAUCGGGAUUUUACCGGGUUACCGGGAGGUUACCGGAACCCCCCGGGAGCCAUAUGGGCCUUCAUGGGCCUUAGUGGAAAGGAGAAAGGGGCAGCCCAAGGUGGCUGCGCCACUUCCCCCUCCCCUAGUCCUAUUAGGACUAGGAGAAGGUGGCCGGCCCCCCUCUCUCCCUUCCCCUCCGAGGAAUCCUAGUUGGACUAGGAUUGGGGGGAGGAAUCCUACUCCCAGAGGGAGUAGGACUCUCCUGCGCCUCCCCUCCUUGGCCGGCCAGCCUCCCCUCCUCUCCUCCUUUAUAUACGGAGGUAGGGGCACCUCUAAACACACAAGUUGAUCCACGUGAUCUAUUCCUUAGCCGUGUGCGGUGCCCCCUGCCACCAUAUACCUCGAUAAUACUGUAGCGGAGUUUAGGCGAAGCCCUGCUGCUGUAGUUCAUCAAGAUCGUCACCACGCCGUCGUGCUGACGGAACUCUUCCCCGACACUUUGCUGGAUCGGAGUCCGGGAAUCGUCAUCGAGCUGAACGUGUGCUCGAACUCGGAGGUGUUGUAGUUUCGGUGCUUGAUCGGUUGGAUCGUGAAGACGUACGACUACUUCCUCUACGUCGUGUCAUCGCUUCCGCAGUCGGUCUGCGUUGGGUACAUAGACAACACUCUCCCCUCGUUGCUAUGCAUCACAUGAUCUUGCGUGUGCGUAGGAAAUUUUUGAAAUUACUACGAAACCCAACAGUGGUAUCAGAGCCUAGGUUAUUUAUGUUGAUGUUAUAUGCACGAGUAGAACACAAGUGAGUUGUGGACGAUACAAGUCAUACUGCCUACCAGCAUGUCAUACUUUGGUUCGGCGGUAUUGUUGGACGAGACGACCCGGACCAACCUUACGCGUACGCUUACGCGAGACCGGUUCCCUCGACGUGCUUUGCACAUAGAUGGCUUGCGGGCGACUGUCUCUCCAACUUUAGUUGAACCAAGUAUGGCUACGCCCGGUCCUUGAGAAGGUUAAAACGGAGUCUAUUUGACAAACUAUCGUUGUGGUUUUGAUGCGUAGGUGAGAUUGGUUCUUACUUAAGCCCGUAGCAGCCACGUAAAACAUGCAACAACAAAGUAGAGGACGUCUAACUUGUUUUUGCAGGGCAUGUUGUGAUGUGAUAUGGUCAAAGCAUGAUGCUGAAUUUUAUUGUAUGAGAUGAUCAUGUUUUGUAACCGAGUUAUCGGCAACUGGCAGGAGCCAUAUGGUUGUCGCUUUAUUGUAUGCAAUGCAAUCGCGAUGUAAUGCUUUACUUUAUUACUACGGUAGUGAUAGUCGUGGAAGCAUAAGAUUGGCGAGACGACAACGAUGCUACGAUGGAGAUCAAGGUGUCGCGCCGGUGACGAUGGUGAUCAUGACGGUGCUUCGGAGAUGGAGAUCACAAGCACAAGAUGAUGAUGGCCAUAUCAUAUCACUUAUAUUGAUUGCAUGUGAUGUUUAUCCUUUUAUGCAUCUUAUCUUGCUUUGAUUGACGGUAGCAUUAUAAGAUGAUCUCUCACUAAAUUAUCAAGAAGUGUUCUCCCUGAGUAUGCACCAUUGCCAAAGUUCGUCGUGCCCAGACACCACGUGAUGAUCGGGUGUGAUAAGCUCUACGUCCAUCUACAACGGGUGCAAGCCAGUUUUUGCACACGCAGAAUACUCAGGUUAAACUUGACGAGCCUAGCAUAUGCAGAUAUGGCCUCGGAACACGGAGACCGAAAGGUCGAGCGUGAAUCAUAUAGUAGAUAUGAUCAACAUAAACAAUGUUCACCAUUGAAAGCUACUCCAUUUCACGUGAUGAUCGGUUAUGGUUUAGUUGAUUUGGAUCACGUAAUCACUUAGAAGAUUAGAGGGAUGUCUAUCUAAGUGGGAGUUCUUAAGUAAUAUGAUUAAUUGAACUUAAAUUUAUCAUGAACUUAGUACCUGAUAGUAUCUUGCUUGUUUAUGUUGAUUGUAGAUAGAUGGCUCGUGCUGUUGUUCCGUUGAAUUUUAAUGCGUUCCUUGAGAAAGCAAAGUUGAAAGAUGAUGGUAGCAAUUACACGGACUGGGUCCGUAACUUGAGGAUUAUCCUCAUUGCUGCUCAGAAGAAUUACGUCCUGGAAGCACCGCUGGGUGCCAGGCCUGCUGCUGGAGCAACACCAGAUGUUAUGAACGUCUGGCAGAGCAAAGCUGAUGACUACUCGAUAGUUCAGUGUGCCAUGCUUUACGGCUUAGAAUCGGGACUUCAACGACGUUUUGAACGUCAUGGAGCAUAUGAGAUGUUCCAGGAGUUGAAGUUAAUAUUUCAAGCAAAUGCCCGAAUUGAGAGAUAUGAAGUCUCCAAUAAGUUCUAUAGUUGCAAGAUGGAGGAGAAUAGUUCUGUCAGUGAGCAUAUACUCAAAAUGUCUGGGUAUAAUAAUCACUUGAUUCAAUUGGGAGUUAAUCUUCUGGAUGAUUGCGUCAUUGAUAGAAUUCUCCAAUCACUGCCACCAAGCUACAAGAGCUUCGUGAUGAACUAUAAUAUGCAAGGGAUGAACAAGACUAUUCCCGAGCUCUUCGCAAUGCUGAAAGCUGCGGAGGUAGAAAUCAAAAAGGAGCAUCAAGUGUUGAUGGUUAACAAGACCACUAGUUUCAAGAAAAAGGCCAAAGGGAAGAAGAAGGGGAACUUCAAAAAGAACGGCAAGCUAGUUGCUACUCAAGAGAAGAAACCCAAGUCUGGACCUAAGCCUGAAACUGAGUGCUACUACUGCAAGCAGACUGGUCACUGGAAGCGGAACUGCCCCAAGUAUUUGGCGGAUAAAAAGGAUGGCAAGGUGAACAAAGGUAUAUGUGAUAUACAUGUUAUUGAUGUGUACCUUACUAGAGCUCGCAGUAGCACCUGGGUAUUUGACACUGGUUCUGUUGCUAAUAUUUGCAACUCGAAACAGGGACUACAGAAUAAGCGGGCACUGGCAAAGGACAAGGUGACGAUGCGCGUGGGAAAUGGUUCCAAAGUUGAUGCGAUCGCGGUCGGCACGCUACCUCUACAUCUACCUUCGGGAUUAAUAUUAGACCUAAAUAAUUGUUAUUUGGUGCCAGUGUUGAGCAUGAACAUUAUAUCUGGAUCUUGUUUAAUGCGAGACGGUUAUUCAUUUAAAUCAGAGAAUAAUGGUUGUUCUAUUUAUAUGAGUAAUAUCUUUUAUGGUCAUGCACCCUUGAAGAGUGGUCUAUUCUUAUUGAAUCUCGAUAGUAGUAAUACACAUAUUCAUAAUGUUGAAACCAAAAGAUGCAGAGUUGAUAAUGAAAGUGCAACUUAUUUGUGGCACUGUCGAAUAGGUCAUAUCGGUAUAAAGCGCAUGAAGAAACUCCAUACUGAUGGACUUUUGGAACUACUUGAUUAUGAAUCACUUGGUACUUGCGAACCGUGCCUCAUGGGCAAGAUGACUAAAACACCGUUCUCCGGUACUAUGGAGAGAGCAACAGAUUUGUUGGAAAUCAUACAUACCGAUGUAUGUGGCCCGAUGACUAUUGAGGCUCGUGGCGGAUAUCGUUAUUUUCUCACCUUCACAGAUGAUUUAAGCAGAUAUGGGUAUAUCUACUUAAUGAAACAUAAGUCUGAAACAUUUGAAAAGUUCAAAGAAUUUCAGAGUGAAGUUGAAAAUCAUCGUAACAAGAAAAUAAAGUUUCUACGAUCUGAUCGUGGAGGAGAAUAUUUGAGUUACGAGUUUGGUGUACAUUUGAAAAACUGUGGAAUAGUUUCGCAACUCAUGCCACCCGGAACACCACAGCGUAAUGGUGUGUCUGAACGUCGUAAUCGUACUUUAUUAGAUAUGGUGCGAUCUAUGAUGUCUCUUACUGAUUUACCGCUAUCAUUUUGGGGAUAUGCUUUAGAGACGGCCACAUUCACGUUAAAUAGGGCACCAUCAAAAUCCGUUGAGACGACGCCUUAUGAACUGUGGUUUGGCAAGAAACCAAAGUUGUCGUUUCUUAAAGUUUGGGGCUGCGAUGCUUAUGUGAAAAAGCUUCAACCUGAUAAGCUCGAACCCAAAUCGGAGAAAUGUGUCUUCAUAGGAUACCCAAAGGAGACUAUUGGGUACACCUUCUAUCACAGAUCCGAAGGCAAGACAUUCGUUGCUAAGAAUGGAUCCUUUCUAGAGAAGGAGUUUCUCUCGAAAGAAGUGAGUGGGAGGAAAGUAGAACUUGACGAGGUAACUGUACCUGCUCCCUUACUGGAAAGUAGUUCAUCACAGAAAACUGUUUCAGUGACACCUACACCAGUUAGUGAGGAAGCCAAUGAUAAUGAUCAUCAAGAUACUGCUGAACCUCGUAGAUCAACCAGAGUAAGAUCCGCACCAGAAUGGUACGGUAAUCCUAUUCUGGAAGUCAUGAUACUAGAUCAUGAUGAACCUACGAACUAUGAAGAAGCGAUGGUGAGCCCAGAUUCCGCAAAGUGGCUUGAAGCCAUGAAAUCUGAGAUGGGAUCCAUGUAUGAGAACAAAGUAUGGACUUUGGUUGACUUGCCCGAUGAUCGGCAAGCAAUUGAGAAUAAAUGGAUCUUUAAGAAGAAGACUGACGCUGAUGGUAAUGUUACUGUCUACAAAGCUCGACUUGUCGCAAAAGGUUUUCGGCAAGUUCAAGGGAUUGACUACGAUGAGACCUUCUCACCCGUAGCGAUGCUUAAGUCUGUCCGAAUCAUGUUAGCAAUUGCCGCAUUUUAUGAUUAUGAAAUUUGGCAGAUGGAUGUCAAAACUGCAUUCCUGAAUGGAUUUCUGGAAGAAGAGUUGUAUAUGAUGCAACCGGAAGGUUUUGUCGAUCCAAAAGGAGCUAACAAAGUAUGCAAGCUCCAGCGAUCCAUUUAUGGACUGGUGCAAGCCUCUCGGAGUUGGAAUAAACGUUUUGAUAGUGUGAUCAAAGCAUUUGGUUUUAUACAGACUUUUGGAGAAGCCUGUAUUUACAAGAAAGUGAGUGGGAGCUCUGUAGCAUUUCUGAUAUUAUAUGUGGAUGACAUAUUGCUGAUUGGAAAUGAUAUAGAAUUUCUGGAUAGCAUAAAGGGAUACUUGAAUAAAAGUUUUUCAAUGAAAGACCUCGGGGAAGCUGCUUACAUAUUAGGCAUUAAGAUCUAUAGAGAUAGAUCAAGACGCUUAAUUGGACUUUCACAAAGCACAUACCUUGAUAAGAUUUUGAAGAAAUUCAAAAUGGAUCAAGCAAAGAAAGGAUUCUUGCCUGUAUUACAAGGUGUGAAGUUGAGUAAGACUCAAUGCCCGACCACUGCAGAAGAUAGAGAGAAUAUGAAAGAUGUUCCCUAUGCAUCAGCCAUAGGCUCUAUCAUGUAUGCAAUGCUGUGUACCAGACCUGAUGUGUGCCUUGCUAUAAGUUUAGCAGGGAGGUACCAAAGUAAUCCAGGAGUGGAUCACUGGACAGCGGUCAAGAACAUCAUGAAAUACCUGAAAAGGACUAAGGAUAUGUUUCUCGUAUAUGGAGGUGACAAAGAGCUCACCGUAAAAGGUUACGUUGAUGCAAGCUUUGACACUGAUCCGGACGAUUCUAAAUCGCAAACCGGAUACGUGUUUACAUUAAACGGUGGAGCUGUCAGUUGGUGCAGUUCUAAACAAAGCGUCGUAGCGGGAUCUACAUGUGAAGCGGAGUACAUAGCUGCUUCGGAAGCAGCGAACGAAGGAGUCUGGAUGAAGGAGUUCAUAUCCGAUCUAGGUGUCAUACCUAAUGCAUCGGGUCCAAUGAAAAUCUUUUGUGACAAUACUGGUGCAAUUGCCUUGGCAAAGGAAUCCAGAUUUCACAAAAGGACCAAACACAUCAAGAGACGCUUCAACUCCAUCCGGGAUCUAGUCCAGGUGGGAGACAUAGAGAUUUGCAAGAUACAUACGGAUCUGAAUGUUGUAGACCCGUUGACUAAGCCUCUUCCACGAGCAAAACAUGAUCAGCACCAAAGCUCCAUGGGUGUUAGAUUCAUUAUAGUGUAAUCUAGAUUAUUGACUCUAGUGCAAGUGGGAGACUGAAGGAAAUAUGCCCUAGAGGCAAUAAUAAAGGUAUUAUUUAUUUCCUUAUAAUCAUGAUAAAUGUUUAUUAUUCAUGCUAGAAUUGUAUUAACCGGAAACAUAAUACAUGUGUGAAUACAUAGACAAACAAAGUGUCACUAGUAUGCCUCUACUUGACUAGCUCGUUAAUCAAAGAUGGUUAUGUUUCCUAACCAUGGACAAAGAGUUGUUAUUUUAUUAACGAGGUCACAUCAUUAGUUGAAUGAUCUGAUUGACAUGACCCAUUCCAUUAGCUUAGCACCCGAUCGUUUAGUAUGUUGCUAAUGCUUUCUUCAUGACUUAUACAUGUUCCUAUGACUAUGAGAUUAUGCAACUCCCGUUUACCGGAGGAACACUUUGGGUGCUACCAAACGUCACAACAUAACUGGGUGAUUAUAAAGGAGCAUUACAGGUGUCUCCAAAGAUAGAUGUUGGGUUGGCGUAUUUCGAGAUUAGGAUUUGUCACUCCGAUUGUCGGAGAGGUAUCUCUGGGCCCUCUCGGUAAUACACAUCACAUAAGCCUUGCAAGCAUUACAACUAAUAUGUUAGUUGUGAGAUGAUGUAUUACGGAACGAGUAAAGAGACUUGCCGGUAACGAGAUUGAACUAGAUAUUGGAUAUCGACGAUCGAAUCUCGGGCAAGUAACAUACCGAUGACAAAGGGAACAACGUAUGUCGUUAUGCGGUCUGACCGAUAAAGAUCUUCGUAGAAUAUGUAGGAGCCAAUAUGGGCAUCCAGGUCCCGCUAUUGGUUAUUGACCGGAGACGUGUCUCGGUCAUGUCUACAUUGUUCUCGAACCCGUAGGGUCCACACGCUUAAGGUUACGAUGACAGUUACAUUAUGAGUUUAUGCAUUUUGAUGUACCGAAGGUUGUUCGGAGUCCCGGAUGUGAUCACGGACAUGACGAGGAGUCUCCAAAUGGUCGAGACGUAAAGAUUGAUAUAUUGGAAGCCUAUGUUUGGACAUCGGAAGUGUUCCGGGUGAAAUCGGGAUUUUACCGGGUUACCAGGAGGUUACCGGAACCCCCCGGGAGCCAUAUGGGCCUUCAUGGGCCUUAGUGGAAAGGAGAAAGGGGCAGCCCAAGGUGGCUGCGCCACUUCCCCCUCCCCUAGUCCUAUUAGGACUAGGAGAAGGUGGCCGUCCCCCCUCUCUCCCUUCCCCUCUGAGGAAUCCUAGUUGGACUAGGAUGGGGGGGAGGAAUCCUACUCCCAGAGGGAGUAGGACUCUCCUGCGCCUCCCCUCCUUGGCCGGCCAGCCUCCCCUCCUCUCCUCCUUUAUAUACGGAGGCAGGGGCACCUCUAAACACACAAGUUGAUCCACAUGAUCUAUUCCUUAGCCGUGUGCGGUGCCCCCUGCCACCAUAUACCUCGAUAAUACUGUAGCGGAGUUUAGGCGAAGCCCUGCUGCUGUAGUUUAUCAAGAUCGUCACCAUGCCGUCGUGCUGACGGAACUCUUCCCCGACACUUUGCUGGAUCGGAGUCCGGGGAUCGUCAUCGAGCUGAACGUGUGCUCGAACUCGGAGGUGCCGUAGUUUCGGUGCUUGAUCGGUUGGAUCGUGAAGACGUACGACUACUUCCACUACGUCGUGUCAUCGCUUCCGCAGUCGGUCUGCGUUGGGUACGUAGACAACACUCUCCCCUCGUUGCUAUGCAUCACAUGAUCUUGCGUGUGCGUAGGAAAUUUUUGAAAUUACUACGAAACCCAACAACAUGAUGGAUAGUGGUCAAUGAGUGGAGUAAUAGUAGUAGAUGCAGAAUCGUUUCGGUCUACUUGUCAUGGACGUGAUGCCUAUAUACAUGAUCAUACCUAGAUAUUCUCAUAACUAUGCUCAAUUCUGUCAAUUGCUCAAUAGUAAUUUUGUUCACCCACCGUAGAAUACUUAUGCUCUUGAGAGAAGCCACUAGUCAAACAUAUGGCCCCUGGGUCUAUUCUCAUCAUAUCAAUCUCCAUUACUUUAAUCUUGCUUUGCUUUUUUACUUUUCCUUUUAUUUUUACUUUGCAUCUUUAUUCCAAAAAUAUUAUAUCUAUCAGAUCUCACUCUCGUAAGUGACCGUGAAGGGAUUGACAACCCCUAAUCGCGUUGGUUGCGAAUAGGUAUCGUUUUGUGCAGGUACGAGGGACUUGAGUGUGGCCUCCUACUGGAUUGAUACCUUGGUUCUCAAAAACUGAGGGAAAUACUUGUGCUACUCUGCUGCAUCAUCCUUUCCUCUUCGGGGAAAUCCAACGCAAGCUCAAGACGUAGCAAGAAGAAUUUCUGGCGCCAUUGCCGGGGAGUCUAUGCAAAAAGUCAACAUACCAAGUACCCAUCACAAUCCCUAUCUCUUGCAUUACAUUAUUUGCCAUUUGCCUCUUGUUUUCCUCUCCCCCCAAUUCACCCUUGCCGUUUUAUUCGCCCUCUCUCUCUCUAUCCUCCCUUUCUAUUUGCCUCUUUUGCCCGUUUGCCCUUGUUUGCUUGUGUGCUAGUUUGUUUGCUUGUCAUCAUGGCUAGUCUCAUAUCUUCUCCGUUAUCUCCCGAGAAUGUGAAGGAAAUAUGCCCUAGAGGCAAUAAUAAAGUUAUUAUUUAUUUCCUUAUAUCAUGAUAAAUGUUUAUUAUUCAUGCUAGAAUUGUAUUAACCGGAAACAUAAUACAUGUGUGAAUACAUAGACAAACAGAGUGUCACUAGUAUGCCUCUACUUGACUAGCUCGUUGAUCAAAGAUGGUUAUGUUUCCCAACCAUAGACAUGAGUUGUCAUUUGAUUAACAGGAUCACAUCAUUAGGGGAAUGAUGUGAUUGACUUGACCCAUUCCGUUAGCAUAGCACUUGAUCGUUUAGUUUGUUGCCAUUGCUUUCUUCAUGACUUAUACAUGUCCCUAUGCCUAUGAGAUUAUGCAACUCCCGUUUACCAGAGGAACACUUUGUGUGCUACCAAAGGUCACAACGUAACUGGGCGACUAUAAAGGUGCUCUACAGGUGUCUCCGAAGGUACUUGUUGGGUUGGCGUAUUUCGAGAUUAGGAUUUGUCACUCCGAUUGUCGGAGAGGUAUCUCUGGGCCCUCUCGAUAAUGCACAUCACUUAAGCCUUGCAAGCAUUGUAACUAAUGAGUUAGUUGCAGGAUGAUGUAUUACGGAACGAGUAAAGAGACUUGCCGGUAAUGAGAUUGAACUAGGUAUUGAGAUACCGACGAUCAAAUCUCGGGCAGGUAACAUACCGAUGACAAAGGGAACAACAUAUGUUGUUAUGCGGUCUGACCGAUAAAGAUCUUCGUAGAAUAUGUGGGAGACAAUAUGAGCAUCCAGGUUCCGCUAUUGGUUAUUGACCGGAGACAUGUCUCGGUCAUGUCUACAUAGUUCUCGAACCCUUAGGGUCCGCACACUUAAAGUUUCGGUGAUGAUUGUAUUUUGAGUUUAUGUGAUCUGAUGUACCGAAGGUAGUUCAGAGUCCUAGAUGAGAUCGGGGACAUGACGAGGAGUCUCGAAAUGGUCGAGACAUAAAGAUCGAUAUAUUGGAUGACUAUAUUCGGACAUCGGAAAGGUUCCGAGUGAUUCGGGUAUUUUCGGGGGUACCAGGGAGUUACGGGAAUACAAGGAAGAAGUAAUGGGCCUCAUGGGCCAAGUGGUGGAAGAGAGGAGGCAGGGCGCGCGGCCCCCCUAUCCCAAACCGAAUUGGACUAGGGGGCCGGCCCCCCUUUCCUCCUUUUCCUCCUUCUCCUUCCUUCUCCUUCUCCUCCUUCCUUUCCUCCUCCUAGUAGAAGUAGGAAAGGGGAGUCCUACUCCUACUAGGAGGAGGACUCCUCCUCCUGGCGCGCCCAUAGAGGGCCGACCGGCCUCCCCCCUUGCUCCUUUAUAUACGGGGGCAGGGGGCACCUCUAGACACACAAGUUGAUCAGUUGAUCUCUCCCAGCCGUGUGCGGUGCCCCCCUCCACCAUAUUCCACCUCGGUCAUAUCGUAGCGGUGCUUAGGCGAAGCCCUGCGUCGGUAGCAACAUCAUCACCGUCACCACGCUGUCGUGCUGACGGAACUCUCCCGUGAAGCUCUGUUGGAUCGGAGAUCGCGGGACAUCAUCGAGCUGAACGUGUGCUGAACUCGGAGGUGCCGUGCGUUCGGUACUUGGAUCGAUCGGAUCGUGAAGACGUACGACUACAUCAACCGCGUUGUGCUAACGCUUCCGCUUUUGGUCUACGAGGGUAUGUGGACAACACUCUCCCCUCUCGUUGCUGUGCAUCACCAUGAUCUUGCGUGUGCGUAGGAAUUUUUUUGAAAUUACUACGUUUCCCAACAGAAUGAAGUUCUAAAUUUUAAACAAAGGAAGGGAGAAAAUUUAAAAUAUGCUUGGUAUAGAAUUUGCAAUGCUCAAAAUAGAUCUACCUGGAAGCAAUCUACUUCAGUUCUUCUCCGCAAUUUCUAUGUAGGUGUUAAUACUUGGAAUAGAUAUAUCCUCGGUACCAUUACCGGAGGGAACUUCUUGGGUAGCCAUACUUUUGAUUCUUAUAAUGCUAUGUUAGAUUUAUUUGGCUCACCACCUCUUUUGGUUAAUGGAACCAUGUUAACUUUGGAGCAUGUUAUGAAAAAACUUGAAAUUAUUGGAAAAAAAUGCUACUAUUGAAUUAAUUGAAAAUCUAGAUAAAAAGAUCCACAAUCAAAUUACUCAAUAUGGAUCUAAGGUAGGAAUGACUUUGAAAAAUAUCAAGGAAAAGGAACCCAUAGUUAAUGAGAAGAUAAACUCAGAUUCUACUAGAAUUGAUAAACUUGAGGGUAUCGUUACAAACUUGGGAACCGCUUUUUCUUCCGUAAAGAAUACUCCAAGUCCUCCUACUAAAAUUGCCAAGCUUAUGUAUGUUCCUAAAAAUAAGGGUGAAUCAUCUAGUAAGGAAACUGCGGAUCUAAAAUCUAUAAGUGUUCAUCCCAAUCUUUUUGCUAUCAUUAAUGAACCAUUUGUUACAAAUAAAUUUUUCGAUCUUGUGCCUAAAAGCUUGAUAAUUAAUAAUAAGAAAGAAAUUCCUAAAGACGGUAGAUGCCUCAUUGAAUAAUUGCCUACCAAAGAUGGCAAUACCUAGAUUUAUCCUCGCUUUUAUGCCUAGCUAGGAGCGUUAAACGAUAGCGCUUGUUGGGAGGCAACCCAAUUUUAUUUUUAUUCAUUGAUUUUUGCUCCUGUUUAGUAAUAAAUAAAUUAUUUAGCCUCUGUUUUGGUUGUGUUUUUUGUGUUUAAUUAGUGUUUGUGCCAAGUAGAACCGUUGGGAAGACUUGGGGAAAGUCUUGUUGAACUUGCUGUAAAAAACAGAAACUUUAGCGCUCACGAGAACUGCUGUCAGUUUUAUUUGGAGAGUGCUAUUUAGUUAAUUCUUUUUGCAGAUGAUUAAUAGAUAAAUUCCUCACGUCCAGAAAUUUAUUUUAGAAUUUUUGGGUUCCAGAUCUUGCGCUAGCUACAGAUUACUACAGACUAUACUGUUUUUGACAGAUUCUGUUUUUCGUGUGUUGUUUGCUUAUUUUGAUGAAUCUAUGGCUAGUAAAAUAGUUUAUAAUCCAUAGAGAAGUUGAAAUACGGUAGGUUUAACACCAAUAUAAAUAAAGAGUGAGUUCAUUACAGUACCUUGAAGUGGCCUUUUGUUUUCUUUCGCUAACGGAGCUCACGAGUUUUCUGCCAUAAGUUUUGUGUUGUGAAGUUUUCAAGUUUUGGGUAAGGAUUUGAUGGAUUAUGGAACAAGGAGUGGAAAGAGCCUAAGAUUGGGGAUUACCAUGGCACCCCCAAGAUAAUCUAAGGACACCUAAAAGCCAAAGCUUGGGGAUGCCCCGGAAGGCAUCCCCUCUUUCAUCUACUUCUAUCGGCAACUUUACUUGGAGCUAUAUUUUUAUUCACCAACAUGAUAUGUGUUUUGCUUAGAGCGUCUUGUAUUAUUCGUGUCUUUGUUUGUUAGUGUGCCACAAUCAUCCUUGCUGCACACACCUUUUGAGAGAACCAUACAUGAAUUAAAAUUUGAUAGAAUACUCUAUGUGCUUCACUUAUAUCUUUUGAGCUAAGUAGUUUUGCUCUAUGUGCUUCACUUAUAUCUUUUGAGCUAAGUAGUUUUGCUCUAUGUGCUUCACUUAUAUCUUUUGAGCUAUGUAAUUUUUCUCUAUAUGCUUCACUUAGAUCUUUUAGAGCACGGUGGCGGAUUUGUUUUAAAGAAACUAUUGAUCUCUCAUGCUUCACUUAAAUUAUUUUGGGAGUCUCUUAAAUAGCAUGGUAAUUUGCUUAAUAAUAAUAUGCUUGGUAUUCAAGAUUUGUGAAACUUUAUUUUGAGUGUGUUGAAUACUAAGAAAAGAUUGAAGCAUGAUAAUUGUUUUGAGAUAUGGAGGUGAUAAUAUUAAAGUCAUGCUAGUUCAGUUGUUGUGAAUUUAAAGAAUACUUGUGUUGAAGUUUGUGAUUCCCGUAGCAUGCACGUAUGGUGAACCGUUAUGUGAUGAAGUCGGAGCAUGAUUUAUUUAUUUAUUGUCUUCCUUAUGAGUGGCGGUCGGGGACGAGCGAUGGUCUUUUCCUACCAAUCUAUCCACCUAGGAGCAUGCGCGUAAUACUUUGCUUUGGUAACUUCUAGAUUUUUGCAAUAAGUAUAUGAGUUCUUUAUGACUAAUGUUGACUCCAUGGAUUAUACGCACUCUCAUCCUUCCACUUUUGCUAGCCUCUCUAAUACCGCGCACCUUUCGCCGGUAUCAUACACCCACCAUAUACCUCCCUCAAAACAGCCACCAUACCUACCUAUUAUGGCAUUUCCAUGGCCAUUCCGAGAUAUAUUGCCAUGCAACUUUCCACCGUUCCGUUUAUUAUGACACACUCCAUCAUUGUCAUAUUACAUAUCCCGGUACACCGCCGGAGGCAUUCAUAUAGAGUCAUAUUUUGUUCUAAGUAUCGAUUUGUAAUUGUUGAGUUGUAAGAAAAAUAAAAGUGUGAUGAUCAUCAUUAUUAGAGCAUUGUCCUAGUGAGGAAAGAAUGAUGGAGAAUAUGAUUCCCCCACAAGUCGGGAUGAGACUCCGGACGAAAAAAAAGAAGCCAAAGAAGCCCAAAUAAAAAAAGGCCAUAAAAAAGAGAAAAGGCCCAAAUAAAAAAUGAGAGAAAAAGAGAGAAGGGACAAUGUUACUAUCCUUUUACCACACUUGUGCUUCAAAGUAGCACCCUGAUCUUCAUAGUAGAGAGUCUCUCAUGUUAUCACUUUCAUAUACUAGUGGGAAUCUUUCAUUAGAGAACUUGGCUUGUAUAUUCCAAUGAUGGGCUUCCUCAAAUUUCCCUCGGUCUUCAUGAGCAAGCAAGUUGGAUGCACACCCACUUAGUUUCUUUUUGAGCUUUCAUAUACUUAUAGCUUUAGUGCAUCCGUUGCAUGGCAAUCCCUACUCACUCACAUUGAUAUCUAUUGAUGGGCAUCUCCAUAGCCCGUUGAUACGCCUAGUUGAUGUGAGACUAUCUUCUCCUUUUUGUCUUCUCCACAACCACCAUUCUAUUCCACCUAUAGUGCUAUGUCCAUGGCUCACGCUCAUGUAUUGCGUGAAGAUUGAAAAAGUUAGAGUAUGAAACAAUUGCUUGGCUUGUCAUCGGGGUAGUGCAUGAUUUAAAUAUUUUGUGUGGUGAAGAUAGAGCAUAGCCAGACUAUAUGAUUUUGUAGGGAUAACUUUCUUUGGCCAUGUUAUUUUGAGAAGACAUAAUUGCUUUGUUAGUAUGCUUGAAGUAUUAUUAUUUUUAUGUCAAUAUAAACUUUUGUCUUGAAUCUUUCUAAUCUGAAUAUUCUUGUCACAAUUAAGAAGAUUUGCAUUGAAAUUAUGCCAAGUAGCACUCCGCAUCAAAUAUUCUCUUUUUAUUAUUUACCUACUCGAGGACGAGCAGUAAUUAAGCUUGGGGAUGCCUGAUACGUCUCCAACGUAUCUAUAAUUUUUGAUUACUCCAUGCUAUAUUAUCUACUGUUUUGGACUAUAUUGGGCUUUGUUUUCCACUUUUAUAUUAUUUUUGGGACUAACCUAUUAACCGGAGGCCCAGCCCAGAAUUGCUGUUUUUUUGCCUAUUUCAGUGUUUAGAAGAAACGGAAUAUCAAACGGAGUCCAAACGGAAUAAAACCUUCGGGAACGUGAUUUUCUCACCGAACGUGAUCUAGGAGACUUAGACCCUGCUCCAAGGAACAAAAGAGGCGGUUACGAGGGUGGGGGCGCCCCCCCCCCUAGGGCGCGCCCCCUGCCUUGUGGGCCCCUCGGAGCUCCACCGACGUACUCCUUCCUCCUAUAUAUACCUACGUACCCCCAGACGAACAGAGGAGGAGCCAAAAACCUAAUUCCACCGCCACAACUUUCUGUAUCCAUGACAGCCCAUCAUGGGGCAUGUUCCGGAGCUCCGCCGGAAGAGGGCCGUCAUCACGGAGGGCUUCUACAUCAUCAUAGCCUCUCUGAUGAAGUGUGAGUAGUUUACCUCAGACCUUCAGGUCCAUAGAUAGUAGCUAGAUGGCUUCUUCUCUCUUUUUGAAUCUCAAUACAAAGUUCUCCCCUCUCUUGUGGAGAUCUAUUCGAUGUAAUCUUCUUUUUGCGGUGUGUUUGUUGAGACCUAUGAAUUGUGGGUUUAUGAUCAAGUCUAUCUAUGAAUAAUAUUUGAAUCUUCUAUGAAUUCUUUUAUGUAUGAUUGGUUAUCUUUGCAAGUCUCUUCGAAUUAUCCGUUUGGUUUGGCCAACUAGAUUGGUAGUUCUUGCCAUGGGAGAAGUGCUUAGCUUUGGGUUCGAUCUUGCGGUGUCCUUUCCUAGUGACAGAAGGGGCAGCAAGGCACGUAUUGCAUCGUUGCCAUCGAGGAUAACAAGAUGGGGUUUAUUUCAUAUUGCAUGAAUUUAUCUCUCUACAUCAUGUCAUCCUGCUUAAAGUGUUACUCUGUUUUUAACUUAAUACUCUAGAUGCAUGCUGGAUAGCGGUCGAUGAGUGGAGUAAUAGUAGUAGAUGCAGAAUCGUUUCAGUCUACUUGUCAUGGACGUGAUGCCUAUAUACAUGAUCAUACCUAGAUAUUCUCAUAACUAUGCUCAAUUCUGUCAAUUGCUCAACAGUAAUUUGUUCACCCACCGUAGAAUACUUAUGCUCUUGAGAGAAGCCACUAGUCAAAACUAUGCCCCCCGGGUCUAUUCUCAUCAUAUCAAUCUCCAUUACUUUAAUCUUGAUUUGCUUUUUUACUUUGCCUUUUAUUUUUACUUUGCAUCUUUAUACCAAAAAUACCAAAAAAUUAUAUCUAUCAGAUCUCACUCUCGUAAGUGACCAUGUAGGGAUUGACAACCCUAAUCGCGUUGGUUGCGAGUAGCUAUCGUUUUGUGCAGGUACGAGUGUUGGGGAACGUAGUAAUUUCAAAAUUUUCCUACGCACACGCAAGAUUAUGGUGAUGCAUAGCAACGAGAGAGGAGAGUGUUGUCUACGUACCCUUGUAGACCGAAAGCGGAAGCGUUAUCACAACGCGGUUGAUGUAGUCGUACGUCUUCACGGCCCGACCGAUCAAGCACCAAAACUACGGCACCUCCGAGUUCUAGCACACGUUCAGCUCGAUGAGGAUCCCCGGACUCCGAUCCAGCAGAAUGUCGGGGAAGAGUUCCGUCAGCACGACGGUGUGGUGACGAUCUUGAUGUUCUACCAUCGCAGGGCUUCACCUAAGCACCGCUACAAUAUUAUCGAGGAUUAUGGUGGAAGGGGGCACCGCACACGGCUAAGAGAUUAAUGAUCAAUUGUUGUGUCUUUGGGGUGCCCCCCUGCACCCUAUAUAAAGGAGCAUGGGAGGAGGAGGUCGGCCCUAGGAGGGGGCGCGCCAAGUGUGGAGUCCUACUAGGACUCCCUAGUCCUAGUAGGGUUCCACCUCCCAUAUGGAAUAGGAAAAGAGGAAGGGAAAAGGAGAAGGAAGGAAGGGGGCGCCCCCCUUCCCUAGUCCAAUUCGGACCAGACCAAGGGGAGGGGUGCGGCCACCCUUGAGGCCCUUUUCCUUCUUUCCCGUAUGGCCCAAUAAGGCCCAAUACGUAUUCCCGUAACUCUCCGGUACUCCGAAAAAUACCCGAAUCACUCGGAACCUUUCCGAUGUCCGAAUAUAGUCGUCCAAUAUAUCGAUCUUUACGUCUCGACCAUUUAGAGACUCCUCGUCAUGUCCCCGAUCUCAUCCGGGACUCCGAACUCCUUUGGUACAUAAAAACUCAUAAACUCAUAAUAUAACUGUCAUCGAAACCUUAAGCGGGCGGACCCUACGGGUUCGAGAACAAUGUAGACAUGACCGAGACACGUCUCCGGUCAAUAACCAAUAGCGGAACCUAGAUGCUCAUAUUGGCUCCCACAUAUUCUACGAAGAUCUUUAUCGGUCAGACCGCAUAACAACAUACGUUGUUCCCUUUGUCAUCGGUAUGUUACUUGCCCGAGAUUCGAUCGUCGGUAUCUCAAUACCUAGUUCAAUCUCGUUACCGGCAAGUCUCUUUACUCGCUCCGUAAUACAUCAUCCUACAACUAACUCAUUAGUUGCAAUGCUUGCAAGGCUUAUGUGAUGUGCAUUACCGAGAGGGCCCAAAGAUACCUCUCCGACAAUCGGAGUGACAAAUCCUAAUCUCAAAAUACGCCAACCCAACAAGUACCUUCGGAGACACCUGUAGAGCACCUUUAUAAUCACCCAGUUACGUUGUGACGUUUGGUGGCACACAAAGUGUUCCUCCGGUAAACAGGAGUUGCAUAAGCUCAUAGUCACAGGAACAUGUAUAAGUCAUGAAGAAAGCAAUAGCAACAAACUAAACAAUGAAGUGUUAUGCUAACGGAAUGGGUCAAGUCAAUCACAUCAUUCUCCUAAUGAUGUGAUCCCGUUAAUCAAAUGACAACUCAUGUCUAUGGUUAGGAAACAUAACCAUCUUUGAUCAACGAGCUAGUCAAUUAGAGGCAUACUAGUGACACUCUGUUUGUCUAUGUAUUCACACAUGUAUUAUGUUUCCGGUUAAUACAAUUCUAGCAUGAAUAAUAAACAUUUGUCAUGAUAUAAGGAAAUAAAUAAUAACUUUAUUAUUGCCUCUAGGGCAUAUUUCCUUCAGUCUCCCACUUGCACUAGAGUCAAUAAUCUAGUUCACAUCGCCAUGUGAUUUAACAUUAAUAGUUCACAUCACCAUGUGAUUAACACCCAUAGUUCACAUCGACAUGUGACCAACACCCAAAGGGUUUACUAGAGUCAAUAAUCUAGUUCACGUCGCUAUGUGAUUAACACCCAAAGAGUACUGAGGUGUGAUCAUGUUUUGCUUGUGAGAGAAGUUUAGUCAACGGGUCUGCCACAUUCAGAUCCGUAAGUAUUUUGCAAAUUUUUAUGUCAACAAUGCUCUGCAUGGAGCUACUCUAGCUAAUUGCUCCCACUUUCAAUAUGUAUCCAGAUUGAGACUUAGAGUCAUCUGGAUCAUUGUCAAAACUUGCAUCAACAUAACCCUUUACGACAAACCUUUUGUCACCUCCAUAAUCGAGAAACAUAUCCUUAUUCCACUAAGGAUAAUUUUGACCAAUGUCCAGUGAUCUACUCCUAGAUCACUAUUGUACUCCUUUGCCAAACUUAGGGUAGGGUAUACAAUAGGUCUGGUACAUAGCAUGGCAUACUUUAUAGAACCUAUGGCUGAGGCAUAGGGAAUGACCUUCAUUCUCUCUCUAUCUUCUGCCAUGGUCGGGUUUUGAGUCUUACUCAACUUCACAGCUUGUAACACAGGCAAGAACUCCUUUUUGACUGUUCCAUUUUGAACUACUUCAAAAUCUUGUCAAGGUAUGUACUCAUUGAAAAAACUUAUCACGCGUAUUGAUCUAGCUCUAUAGAUCUUGAUGAUCAAUAUGUAAGCAACUUCACCGAGGUCUUUCUUUGAAAAACUCCGUUCAAACAUUCCUUUAUGCUUUGCAGAAUAAUUCUACAUUAUCUCUGAUCAACAAUAUGUCUUUCACAUAUACUUAUCAGAAAUGUUGUAGUGCUCUCACUCACUUUCUUGUAAAUAUAGGCUUCACCGCAAGUCUGUAUAAAACUAUAUGCUUUGAUCAACUUAUCAAAGCAUAUAUUCCAACUCCGAGAUGCUUGCACCAGUCCAUAGAUGGAUCACUGGAGCUUGCAUAUUUUGUUAGUACCUUUAGGAUUGACAAAACCUUCUGGUUGCAUCAUAUACAACUCUUCUUUAAUAAAUCCAUUAAGGAAUGCAAUUUUGUUUAUCCAUUUGCCAGAUUUCAUAAAAUGCAGCAAUUGCUAACAUGAUUCGGACAAACUUAAGCAUAGAUACGAGUGAGAAACUCUCAUCGUAGUCAACACCUUGAACUUGUCAAAAACCUUUUUGCGACAAUUCUAGCUUUGUAGAUAGUAACACUACUAUCAGCGUCCGUCUUCCUCUUGAAGAUCCAUUUAAUCUCAAUGGCUCGUCGAUCAUUGGGCAAGUCAAUCAAAGUCCAUACUUUGUUCUCAUACAUGGAUCUCAUCUCAGAUUUCAUGGCCUCAAGCCAUUUCGCGGAAUCUGGGCUCAUCAUCGCUUCCUCAUAGUUCGUAGGCUCGUCAUGGUCAAGUAACAUGACCUCCAGAAUAGGAUUACCGUACCACUCUGGUGUGGAUCUCACUCUGGUUUACCUACGAGGUUCGGUAGUAACUUGAUAUGAAGUUACAUGAUCAUCAUCAUUAGCUUCCUCACUAAUCGGUGUAGUAGUCACAAGAACAGACUUAUGUGAUGAACUACUUUCCAAUAAGGGAGCAGGUACAAUUACCUCAUCAAGUUCUACUUUCCUCCCACUCACUUCUUUCGAGAGAAACUCCUUUUCUAGAAAGGAUCCAUUCAAAGCAACGAAUAUAUUGCCUUCGGAUCUGUGAUAGAUGGUGUACCCAACAUUUUUCUUUUGGGUAUCCUAUGAAGAUGCACUUCUCCGAUUUGGGUUAGAGCUUAUCAGGUUGAAACUUUUUCGCAUAAGCAUUGCAACCUCAAACUUUAAGAAACGACAGGUUAGGUUUCUUGCCAAACCAUAGUUCAUAUGGUGUUGUCUCAACGGAUUUAGAUGGUGCCCUAUUUAAUGUGAAUGCAGCUAUCUCUAAUGCAUAACCCCAAAACGAUAGUGGUAGAUCGGUAAGAAACAUCAUAGAUCACACCAUAUCUAAUAAAGUAACGGUUAUGACGUUCGGACACACCAUUAUGCUGUGGUGUUCCGGGUGGUGUGAGUAGUGAAACUAUUUCAUAUUGUUUUUAACUGAAGGCCAAACUCAUAACUCAAAUAUUUUACUUCUACGAUCAUAUCAUAGAAACUUUUAUUUUUGUUACGAUGAUUCUCCACUUCACUCUGAAAUUCUUUGAACUUUUCAAAUGUUUCAGACUUGUGUUUCAUCAAGUAGAUAUACUCAAAUCUGCUCAAAUCAUCUGUGAAGAUCAGAAAAUAAUGAUACCUGCCAGGAGCCUCAAUAUUCAUCAGACAACAUACAUCAGUAUUUAUGAUUUCCAACAAAUCUGUUGCUCGCUCCAUUGUUCUGGAGAACGGAGUCUUAGUCAUCUUGCCCAUGAGGCAUGGUUCGCAAGCAUCAACUGAUUCAUAAUCAAGUGAUUCCAAAAGCCCAUCAGCAUGGAUUUUCUUCAUGCGCUUUACACCAAUAUGACCUAAACGGCAGUGCCACAAAUAAAUUGCAGCAUCAUUAUUAACUUUGCAUCUUUUGGUUUCAAUAUUAUGAAUAUGUGUAUCACUACGAUCGAGAUCCAAUGAACCAUUCUCAUUGGGUGUGUAACCAUAUAAGGUUUUAUUCAUGUAAACAGAACAACAAUUUAUUCUCUUACUUAAAUGAAUAACCGUAUUGCAAUAAACAUGAUCAAAUCAUAUUCAUGCUCAACGCAAACACCAAAUAACACUUAUUUAGGUUCAACACUAAUCCCAAAAGUAUAGGGAGUGUGCGAUGAUGAUCAUAUCAAUCUUGGAACCACUUCCAACACACAUCGUCACUUCACCCUUAACUAGUCUAUGUUCAUUCUGCAACUCCCGUUUCGAGUUACUACUCUUAGCAACUGAACUAGUAUAAAAUACCGAGGGGUUGCUACGAACACUAGUAAAAUACACAUCAAUAAUCUGUAUAUCAAAUAUACAUUUGGUCACUUUGCCAUCCUUCUUAUCCGCCAAAUACUUGGGGCAGUUCCGCUUCCAGUGACCAGUCCCUUUGCAGUAGAAGCACUUAGUCUCAGGCUUAGGACUAGACUUGGGCUUCUUCACUUGAGCAGCAACUUGCUUGUCGUUCUUCUUGAAGUUCCCCUUCUUCCCUUUGCCCUUUUCUUGAAACUAGUGGUCUUGUCUACCAUCAACACUUGAUAUUUUUUGUUGAUUUCUACCUUCGUCGAUUUCAGCAUUACGAAGAGCUUGGGAAUCGUUUCCGUUAUCCCUUGCAUAUCAUAGUUCAUCAUGAAGUUCUACUAACUUGGUGAUGGUGACUAGAGAAUUAUGUCAAUCACUAUUUUAUCUGGAAGAUUAACUCCCACUUGAUUCAAGCGAUUGUAGUACCCAGACAAUCUGAGCACAUGAUCACUGCUUGAGCUAUUCUCCUCCGUCUUUUAGCUAUAGAACUUGUUGGAGACUUCAUAUCUCUCAACUCGGGUAUUUGCUUGAAAUAUUAACUUCAACUCCUGGAACAUCUCAUAUGGUCCAUGACGUUCAAAAUGUCUUUGAAGUCCCGCUUCUAAGCCGUUUAAGCAUGGUGCACUAAACUAUCAAGUAGUCAUCAUAUUGAGGUAGCCAAAUGUUCAUAACAUCUGCAUCUGCUCCUGCAAUAGGUUUGUCACCUAGCGGUGCAUCAAAGACAUAAUUCUUCUGUGCAGCAAUGAGGAUAAACCUCAGAUCAUGGAUCCAAUCCGCAUCAUUGGUUUUCUCUAGGAACAUAUCAAAAAUAAAACAGGGGAGCUAAACGCGAGCUAUUGGUCUACAACAUAGAUAUGCUAAUACUACCAGGACUAAGUUCAUGAUAAAUUAAAGUUCAAUUAAUCAUAUUACUUAAGAACUCCCACUUAGAUAGACAUCCCUCUAAUCCUCUAAGUGAUCACAUGAUCCAAAUCAACUAAACCACGUCCGAUCAUCACGUGAGAUGGAGUAGUUUCAAUGGUGAACAUCACUAUGUUUAUCAUAUCUACUAUAUGAUUCAUGCUCGACCUUUCGGUCUCCGUGUUCCAAGGCCAUAUCUGUUAUAUGCUAGGCUCGUCAAGUUUAAUCUGAGUAUUCCGUGUGUGCAACUGUUUUGCACCCGUUGUAUUUGAACGUAGAGCCUAUCACACCCGAUCAUCAUGUGGUGUCUCAGCACGAAGAACUUUCGCAACGGUGCAUACUCAGGGAGAACACUUAUACUUUGAUAAUUUAGCGAGGGAUCAUCUUAUAAUGCUAUCGUCAAUCAAAGCAAAAUAAGAUGCAUAAAAGAUAAACAUCACAUGCAAUCAAUAUAAGUGAUAUGAUAUGGCCAUCAUCAUCUUGUACUUGUGAUCUCCAUCUCUGAAGUACCGUCAUGAUCACCAUCGUCACCGGCGUGACACCUUGAUCUCCAUCGUAGCAUCGUUGUCGUCUCGCCAAUCUUAUGCUUCCACGACUAUCGCUACCGCUUAGUGAUAAAGUAAAGCAUUACAGCGCAAUUGCAUUGCAUACAAUAAAGCGACAACCAUAUGGCUCCUGCCAGUUGCCGAUAACUCGGUUACAAAACAUGAUCAUAUCAUACAAUAAAAUUUAGCAUCAUGUCUUGACCAUAUCACAUCACAACAUGCCCUGCAAAAACAAGUUAGACGUCCUCUACUUUGUUGUUGCAAGUUUUACGUGGCUGCUACGGGCUUAGCAAGAACCGUUCUUACCUACGCAUCAAAACCACAACAAUAGUUUGUCAAGUUGGUGUUGUUUUAACGUUCGCAAGGACCGGGCAUAGCCACACUCAGUUCAACUAAAGUUGGAGAAACUGACACCCGCCAGCCACCUGUGUGCAAAGCACGUCGGUAGAACUAGUCUUGUGUAAGCGUACGCGUAAUGUUGGUCCGGGCCGCUUCAUCCAACAAUACCGUUGAACCAAAGUAUGACAUGCUGGUAAGCAGUAUGACUUAUAUCGCCCACAACUCACUUGUGUUCUACUCGUGCAUAACAUCAACGCAUAAAACCUAGGCUCAGAUGCCACUGUUGGGGAACGUAGUAAUUUCAAAAUCUUCCUAUGCACACGCAAGAUCAUGGUGAUGCAUAGCAACGAGAGAGGAGAGUGUUGUCUACGUACCCUCGUAGACCGAAAGCGGAAGCGUUAGCACAACACGGUUGAUGUAGUCGUACGUCUUCACGGCCCGACCGAUCAAGCACCGAAACUAUGACACCUCUGAGUUCUAGCACACGUUCAGCUCGAUGACGAUCCCUGGACUCCGAUCCAGCAGAAUGUCGGGGAAGAGUUCGUCAACACGACGGCGUGGUGACGAUCUUGAUGUUCUACCGUCGCAGGGCUUCGCCUAAGCACCGCUACAAUAUUAUCGAGGAUUAUGGUGAAAGGGGGCGCCGCACACGGCUAAGAGAUCAAUGAUCAAUUGUUGUGUCUUUGGGGUGCCCCCUGCACCCGUAUAUAAAUGAGCAAGGGAGGAGGAGGCCGGCCCUAGGAGGGGGCGCGCCAUGUGUGGAGUCCUACUAGGACUCCCUAGUCCUAGUAGGAUUCCACCUCCCAUAUGGAAUAGGAAAAGAGGAAGGGAAAAGUAGAAGGAAGGAAGGGGGCGCCCCCCUUCCCUAGUCCAAUUCGGACCAGACCAAGGGGAGGGGUGCGGCCACCCUUGAGGCCCUUUUCCUUCUUUCCCGUAUGGCCCAAUAAGGCCCAAUACGUAUUCCCGUAACUCUCCGGUACUCCGAAAAAUACCCGAAUCACUGGAACCUUUUCGAUGUCCGAAUAUAGUCGUCCAAUAUAUCGAUCUUUACAUCUCGACCAUUUAUAGACUCCUCGUCAUGUCCCUGAUCUCAUCCGGGACUCCGAACUCCUUCGGUACAUCAAAACUCAUAAACGCAUAAUAUAACUGUCAUCGAAACCUUAAGUGUGUGGACCCUACGGGUUCGAGAACAAUGUAGACAUGACCGAGACACGUCUCCGGUCAAUAACCAAUAACGGAACCUGGAUGCUCAUAUUGGCUCCCACAUAUUCUACGAAGAUCUUUAUCGGUCAGACCGCAUAACAACAUACGUUGUUCCCUUUGUCAUCGGUAUGUUACUUGCCCGAGAUUCGAUCGUCGGUAUCUCAAUACCUAGUUCAAUCUUGUUACCGGCAAGUCUCUUUACUCGUUCCGUAAUACAUCAUCCUGCAACUAACUCAUUAGUUGCAAUGCUUGCACGGCUUAAGUGAUGUGCAUUACCGAGAGGGCCUAGAGAUACCUCUCCGACAAUCGGAGUGACAAAUCCUAAUCUCGAAAUACGCCAACCCAACAAGUACCUUCGGAGACACCUGUAGAGCACCUUUAUAAUCACCCAGUUACGCUGUGACGUUUGGUGGCACACAAAGUGUUCCUCCGGUAAACGGGAGUUGCAUAAUCUCAUAGUCAUAGGAACAUGUAUAAGUCAUGAAGAAAGCAACAUCAACAAACUAAACGAUCAAGUGCUAUGCUAACGGAAUGGGUCAAGUCAAUCACAUCAUUCUCCUAAUGAUGUGAUCCCGUUAAUAAAAUGACAAAUCAUGUCUAUGGUUAGGAAACAUAACCUCUUUGAUCAACGAGCUAGUCAAGUAGAGGCAUACUAGUGACACUCUGUUUGUCUAUGUAUUCACACAUGUAUUAUGUUUUCGGUUAAUACAAUUCUAGAAUGAAUAAUAAACAUUUAUCAUGAUAUAAGGAAAUAAAAAAUAACUUUAUUAUUGCCUCUAGGGCAUAUUUCCUUCAAAGAGGGACUUGAGCGUGGCCUCCUACUGGAUUGAUACCUUGGUUCUCAAAAACUGAAGGAAAUACUUACGCUACUCUGCUGCAUCAUCCUUUCCUCUUCGGGGAAAUCCAACCCAAGCUCAAGACAUAGCAAUCUCUUGCCCAAUGCUCUCCACAAAUGAAACAGAGUCCCUUAGAUUUCUUGUAGGCACGAAGAGCUGACCAGCGGUCCUCAACCGAGGCUGGACGGCUUGUUUUUGUAGUAUGUCUGUCCUCUACUGCCUUACUGACAAUAACACUGCGAGCAGAUGGCUGGAUUUUUUUCUUGUUGUGAGACACUAAACUAACUGAAACUGUUGGCUAGAACGAGUGAUCUCCCAGUUCUUCAGAUAGCAGGGCCAGAGCAUAUGUUGCGUCCAGAUCUGAAGGUUGUUGAAUACCCACCAGCAGUCGGACUGAUGGCACUAGCCCCUCCAUGAAUCGAGUGACAUAAUGCACCUGACUGGGAUUUGACUCAUAUGCAGUCAACUGAUCAAACAACUCUGAGAAUUGCUCCACGUAAUCCUUGACUAUGCUGGUCUGGCGGAUGUUAAACAUAUGCUUGAGUAUAUGCUGAUGCUUGUUGCGUCCAAAGCGGGAUUGCAACAACAAACAAAAUUCAGGCCACGCUAUGCCCGGAGCGCGGCGUUGGACUGAUUCAAGCCAUCGUGCCGCUGCACCUUCAAACAGAGCGGUAGCGUAAGGGAUCCACUAGUGCACUGGAGUGUUCCAAAACUUGAAAUAAUCCUCACAUCGGGUCUGCCACAACUUGGGGUUUGUCCCAUCGAAUUUGGGCAACUCGAUCCGGGGACCGAAACCAGAAGAAUCCGCAGAGAAUGGGCGAAAAAAUUCCAGAGGUUGAUUCGGCUGCCUGAGCACAAUCUGGUCCUGCUGCAUACCUCUGGCCGGUGGCGGAAUGUACUUUGGAGUGGGUGGGCGUAGAUCGACCUCCGGUCGGAGCCCUUCCUGGCUCGUGGUGCCGCUUGCCGGAGCUGUGGACUUGGUGGUGGCCGAAGGGGGACCUUGAGAAGUGGGUGAUGCGGGCGACGACGCAGUGCCGCGAUCCGCGGCCAUCUCCCCGCGCAGUUCGUCGAUGUCGAUCCCAAGGGACAGCUUCACAUCCACGAGUCGUCCCGAUAGCUGGUCGAGUUUGGAAUCCAGCUUCGCGAGCGCGGAAACCAUCUCUUCGCUUCGCUCGGAGGAGCUCUUGGCGAGGGCAGCGUCGAAGUCGGCGCGGAGAAGCUCGUAGAUCGCCUUGGUCUCCAGCAAAAUCUGCUCCAUCGCCUCGGCUCGUCGGCGAUUUGCCAGGCGCGUGCGGUGGUGGUGUUGAGGCAGCUCCAGGACAGGACGACUCUGAUACCAGGUUGUUAGCACACAAUCAACAAUUCACUCAACCAGCCUCCAUUAUCGCCGAAUCGAGCUACAAUUCACGAGUUCAUAGAGAGGGGAUCAAAGGACGAGGAAGGAUUUCUGUUACAACACGAAAGGGGAAAGUUUGCUAGCUUGCCAGCCGUUCGCCAGCCACUCACACGCUAUCGCCAGGCUUAAGUACACUGCACACAUGGGCCCAUUCCGGGCCAGCCAGCCGAGCCGGCAGGCGAGGCUGUCUCCUGGGCCGGCCCACUCCUGGUGCUUGGUUCUCGUAGCUUUUGUGUCUUGAUCGCUACUGCUGACACAUGUCACCGGCGAUGCUACUCCCUCCGACACAUAGGCUAGAUCGGGUGUACUUGGCAAAUGGCCACUCCAUCAUUAUCUCUAGCCCGUAUACCCCAUCCUCCUGUAACAUCCGGAUGAAAAGCAGCAUCAACAUUGAUUUUUGAUAAAAAAUCCACAUCAGGUUUCACCCAUCUCUGAACUAAGCAACUUGCAUUAAUGCAUUAUACAGGGGCUUAAUAAAAGAUAGGAGAAUCGUCGGACCCGGUCAUGCAUGACGACAGACGGGAUGCAUGCGAGGCCUCGGCUUAGGUCACCCGCGUGCCCGCCACAACCCACAGGCCACAGCUACACGAUUGACCGGUCGUCCUGCCUACAUAAUUUUUUUUUUGUGAGAGUACCAGUACCACGCUACGGGGCCUUGGUGGGGGCUACUAGUACUCGCUACGGGGCCUUGGCGUGGGCAGACGGCCAGUGGCGCUGGAGAACCGUGACGUGGUACAUACUCGAGCUUCCCAAGGAUUCGUGCACCGAGCGUUUUUGCGUGCGUUUCUUGCCCCUGUUCCUCACGCGCUCUCCCCCCAGGAUAAUUUACCGUCUCAUCUUCUUUUAGAUGUGGUUUUCCCAUUCAGGCCUUGUUCGGUAGUCAGGGGAGCAACCCCCUAGGAGAUUCAAUCCACCCAGGGGUUGGGUGAUCCUCACUCUGUCACCCAAUCCCUAUAGGGAUUAAACUCCUAAAUUCCCUCAAUCCCUACCUCAACAAAUCACGUUCGGUUAACCCCUCCCAGCAGGCACAGAUCAAUCAAUCGACUCAAGACGAGGAGAGAAGGGAGUCCGAGGAGGAGGAUUGGAGCUUACUGGGUGGGAUGCUGGAUCCAUGGCCACAUCGUCACCGCGGCCGGUGACUUCGCUUUGGGUCGUGUUGCCCGCGAUAGUCCGCCUCCGGGUCGCUCGGGGUUUCGUUCCACGGGUGCAGAGAGGAUUAUUUUUUCCCCGUCUGUUUUGCGAAGACUGGAGGGGUUUCGACCGGGGGAUUGACCCGCGCUGGGCUUAAACGAACACGCAUUAACGGACGGGCCGGGGUUACACCCCGGCGGGGGUAAUCCUCGUCGAUCCACGGGGGUUGGGCCGCCGACCUCGCGGGGGAGGGAGUAAACGAACAAGGCCUCAGUGAUGACAAUAUGAGGGUUCACAUUUCACAUACCCGAGUCGUUUCUACUCCAAAGAAGACGAGACGGUAAAUUAUCGAAUCAAGAAGAAAGAAAAUGUCUAUUUGAGCCAUAGAGAGGAAGCCCCAAAGAGAGAGACUAAGAAUAAGGGUCAUAUCCAGAAGAUAAUGUUCCUAUCGGCAAUGGCUAGACCAAGAUAUGAUGCCCAAGGAAAUUGCAUUUUUGAUGGAAAGAUUGGUGUGUGGGCCUGUGUUGAGUGGGUUCAAGCACAAAAGAAAAGCGCUAAUAGGUUAGUUUUGUAAAAAAAAUAUCUCGCAACAUUUUCUUGAUUAAGUUUCCGCACUAACAAAAAAUCAUUUUAUUUGCAACAGGAAGAAGGGAGAGUGGGAGAUCAAGCCUUGCACGGAUGUAGACAGGGCUAAAAGCAGGAAGUAUUUAUGCAACUUUGUGCUACCGGCUAUAAAAGCUAAGUGGCCGGCCUGGGAUAGAAACAACACAAUCUAUAUUCAACAAGAUAACGCGAGAGCGCACAUACAGCCCGACGAUCCAGUGUUUCUUACGGAGGCCGCUAGAGGUGGUUGGAACAUUAGGAUGAUUUAUCAACAACCUAAUUCACUGGACACAUACAUUUUAGAUCUUGCUUGGUUUGCCUCAAUCCAAUCUAUGUUUGCGGAAAAAAUGCCCAAGACUCUUGCCGAAAUUCUUGCUAAAGUUAACCAAUCUUUAGCCGAAUAUCCAUAUGAAAAACUUAAUAGGUCCGUCCCUUUGGAUCUUUUUAACUUGUUAAAGUUUCAUUAGAUAAGAAAUUAACACAUUAUUUGCUUGAUCUUGUAGGAUAUUCUUGAGCCACCAAGCUUGCAUGAGGGAGAUCAUACGCAAGAAGGGCACAAUUCGUUAUGAUGUACCACACAUGAAGAAAAAAAAACACUUGAGAAAGAAGGAAAAUUGCUGGUCCGCUUGACAAUUGACAAGGACUACGUUGACGCGUCAAUAGAGUGGCUUAACGUUGUUCCUACUCCGUAGUAUAUUUUGGACUUGUGCGCAUACAAAGCUUGUGACACUUGCUUAGUUUGAUUUUGUAGGCCAUGGCCGGGGGGCCACUAAAAACCCACUUGUAACAUUGAUGUAAUUGGUUUCUUGUGAGUAAUAGAAAGUCAGUGGGAGCCUCUUCCAUUGUCGUUUACGAUUAAAAAAAAUGUGUACAAUUGUUUCGUACAUCAAGUUUUAGUACUUUAAUUCAUGUAAUAUUUGGAGUUUGCCUGGAAAUAUUUGGAGUUUUGUCUGCCGCGGUAGGAUUUUGCCACUCUAUUUCCGUCCGCAUGGAAGAGGCGAACGAACGCAACGAUGCAGAUUGGUUUUCACAUCUGCAUGCAUGUGAAGGAGUCGAGCUAGCCUCGAUUUUUUUUUUAAAUCGCCAUGCAGCCAUGCAGCCAUGUUCACAUCUGUAUGUAUGUGCGUGAAGGAGCUGAGCGAGCACAUAUUUUUCUAAUAGCCAUGCAGCCACACAGCCGUGUUCAUAGUACCUGCAUGCGUGUGAAACCAACACUACCGAAGGAGAAGGAAAUGUGGCGUCCACAUGGAAGAGCGGGGGCAAUUAAGUAGGCUAAUUAAUUCUAGCGGGCCUUAUUCUUGAAGUGUUUUGGAACAAAUAUAAAUUGAUAGUGAGCCCUAUACACCGGACCGGAGGGAGUAGUACAUUCUAAGCAUAGUAAUGCAGGUUGUUUAUACUCCUAUGUCACAAGAUGCCCUAGUUUUUGGAUAAAGUUAAUGUUCAUUUGUUAAGUUUUACUCCCUCCGGUCAGAAUUACUUGUCGCAGAAAUGAAUGUAUCUAGACGUAUUUUAGUUCUAGAUAUAUUUAUUUCCGAAACAAGUAAUUCCGAACGAAGAGAGUAUUUGAGUAGCUAGUUUUCUUCUCUCUGUUUUAUAUUGUAAUGAUUGUCCAAUAUGCCUGAGCAAUCUGACAAACCACAAAAGUUUGGGUUGCACGGUAACGGUGUCGACCUGGAGGUUAGAAUAUGGAAUGACGAUUCCAGCUUGGCUGAAGCUUGAAGGCAGGCUCCUGACGCGUCUUGCUGCGGCCGUAUGCGCAGUGUCCCGACUCUUUCAUCUGCCAGCGUUGCCCUUCACGGGUGGGCAGAAUACUCAAUGAUACCCAUCCGAAAAAGAAAAAAAGAAUACUCAAUUAUACUAACUCUCACAAGCUCCAUGCUUUCAUUCAAAAAAUGAUUUAAAAUGUUUCCAGAUUUUCUAGACAAAAAUGUGAAUGUUCACAAGGAAUGUGUCUAUAAUCCCUAACUGCAAAUCCAAAUUCAACGUGCACAUGAAGAAACUAAAAAGACAAAUCCAAAUGUGAAUAGUGACAUUUUUUCCCUCGCAAAAAAAGAAUAGGGUCAUUUUUUGCUCUACUAUUUUUUGAACACUAUUUAUGCUAGAUUUAUCUUCUUUUUUGUUUCUCAAUGUGUAUUUCAAAUUCGGUUAUGAGUUUUUUAGGGCUUGUAGACACAUGCCUUCACAAAAGAAUCGAAUUUUUGUUGAAAUAUUAAAAUUUGUUUUUUUAAGGUUGAUAUCAAUGGAGCAUGUAAGGGAUGGUAUGACUUGAUACUUUUCCUAUGCUGGUGCCCUGCUUGCAAAUAUGGGUAUGUGACGUGGCUGGCUGGCACAUGGUUGGUUUGUAACAUGGAUGGAUGAAUGAGAAGAACUGGGUCUAAUUUCUUGAGUGAUUAAUUUUAUCUGUUUGAUAGCAAGAUUAGGGAGAUGAGGUCGUGUUUCGUUGAGCUCCUCAAACCAGCCCAUAGACUGGAUCUGGAGGAACGGCUGAAUCAAUCAUUUCUGACAAGCCAUAACCAAGCGAGCACAAAGAGGGCACACGACUACACGAGCGGGGACGAGCGGUGAAAGCACAUUUGCUCCUCGGGUGGUUUUGGUAAUUAAUGACAACAUACUUUGUGGUUGGACUAAUGCUUUUAUCAAGUAUGUUUCAGGAAAUUCAAUCACAUUGGCAUGGCAAAAGGACUAAAGAGGUGGACCCCUCAAAAUGCUAAGGCAAGCAUUGGCAAAAGCUCAAGACUCCAUUUUUGGUUUAGUGAUCCUAGAUCACAUUGAGUCCAUAGGAAAAGCCAAUACUAUUAAAAGGGGAUGAGGUUAUGAUGAUGAUCUGGUUGCUCAAGUGCUUAGUGAUACAUCUCCUAAACUAUCAGCAACUUUCACUGCCAUAUACACUAAUAAGUAGUCUCGGUCCCACCGAUAUUCCAAACUCAGUCACACCGAGAUGAACCACCUCAGCCAUAAGCCAAACCCUAGAAAACUCGGAUUUUCCGAUUCUGAACUCGGUCUCACCGAAACAUGAGUUGCCAAGCUUCUGUAACCUUCUGUCAUCAAAUCGGUGUCACCGAGAUGAUGAAGUCGGUCCCACCGAAACUGGCAUGCUCUUGUCAUUGCAUGAAUCGGACUAACCGAGAUUGUAUUUUCGGUCCCACCGAAAAUCCCAACGUUCACAUUAUUUGAACUAUCGGUCUCACCGAGUUGUCCACUUCGGUCCCACCGAGAUUGCUCAAAUGUGUGUAACGGUUGGAUUUUGUGUGGAGGCUAUUUAUACCCCUCCACCCCCUCUUCAUUCGUGGAGAGAGCCAUCAGAAAGAACUACCACUCCUACCUUACAUUUCUGAGAAGAGAACUACCUACCCUUGUGUUGAGAUCAAGUUGCUCCACUCCCACCAUAUGAAGCUUGAUCUCUAGCCUUCCCAAGUUGCUUUCCACUCAAUCCUUUCUUCCACCAUAGCCAAAUCAGUGAGGAGAGUUGAGUGUUGGGGAGAUUAUCAUUUGAAGCACAAGAGCAAGGAGUUCAUCAUCAUCUACAACAUCUAUUACCUUUUGGAGGGUGGUGCCUCCUAGAUUGGUUAGGUGUCGCUUGGGAGCCUCCGUCAUCGAGAUGUGGAGUUGAACCAAGAAGUUUGUAAGGGCAAGGAGAUCGCCUACUUCGUGAAGAUCUACCCCGAGUAAGGCUAGCCCUCCGUGGGCGUAGGCCAUGAUGGGAUAGACAAGGUUGCUUCUUCGUGGACCCUUCGUGGGUGGAGCCCUCCGUGGACUCGCGUAGCCGUUACCCUCCGUGGGUUGAAGUCUCCAUCAACGUGGAAGUACGAUAGCACCACCUAUCGGAACCACGAGAAAAAUCACCGCGUCUCCAAAUUGCGUUUGAUCUUCUCCACUUCUCUUUACUACUUGUGCAAUUUACUUUCCGCUGCCCAUACUCUAGAAUUGCAUGUGUAGUGUGCUACUUGACUUGUAUGUUAUGCAAAAUCUGCCAAAAUCUGUCCUUGAUAAAAGACAGAAUUUUUAUCUUGUCGAGUAGUCUAAUCACCCCCCCUCUAGACACUCUCACCUUCUUCGAUCCCUCAAUUGGUAUCAGAGCAUUGGUUUCCAUUGCUUUGGUUUACACACCAUUGGAGGAAGAUGGACGUGUCUACGUUUGGGAGUGUUAGCCAUAGAGUGCCUAUUCUUAAUGGAGUGUCCUAUAACUCGUGGAGGAUUGAAAUGCUUAUUAUCUUUAAGACAUACAAUUUGCGCAAAUAUGUUGAGACCCCCUAUGUGCCUCAAUUUGACCCCUUGCACCCUACCAUGGAUGAAGAGCUUGAUUUGCUUCGUAACCUUAGGACUGUAAAUCUUAUCAUUAGAGGGUUACCCGAUAACUUGCUUAAGCUCGUUACAAACUUUGAGUGCGCCUAUGCUAUGUGGAAGUUCUUGGAAGAACUUUAUCCGGACUACUCUUUGAGAGGUCUUGAUGAAAUUCUAUACAAGACUAUUGAAUUUGAUAUAAUGCGCCCCAAUGAUCCCAACUUUGAUAAAUGCUUCUUUGAGCUUUGUGAUCUUAUGAAAAAGAAGGGUGAUCCCGGUCUUAUCAAUGUUCUAAUUAGAAAUGCUCUUGUAUUGCAUUCCGAUGAUUAUUGUCACAUUGACAAAACUAAUGCAAGUAGUUAUCAAAUUGACCUAGGUGUUGAUGAUGAACAAUCUAUGGGUCAAUAUGAUGAUGAGCAUGAGCAUGAUGAUGAUUACUCCGAUUCGGACACCGAGCUAGACAAGAUCAUGAAGAGUCUCAAUCUUAUGGCAAAUCUGAGAGACUACAUAUCCGGCGGAAAAGAGUGGAUUCUUGAUAGUGGAUGCACCGACCACAUGACCGGAGACAAAGACAUGUUUCGAGAGCUUGCAAAGAACGAUGGUCCACGCAAGUAUGUGACUUUUGGAGACAACUCCAAGGGUAAGGUACUUGGCCUUGGUAAGGUGGCCAUAUCUCAUGAUAGCUCUAUUCAAAAUGUCAUGCUUGUAGAAUCUCUUGGAUACAAUUUACUUUCCGUGUCUAGAUUAGCUGACUUUGGAUUCAACGUGCUAUUCACCGAAGUAGAUUGCCAAGUCUUUUGUCGUGACAAUCAUAACAUGGCGUUUACCGGUAUCCGUAGAGGUGAUCUAUAUAUUGUUGAUUUCACUAAGAAAGCCCAACCUAGAGCUUGCUUCAUUGCUAAAUCCGCUAAAGGUUGGUUAUGGCAUAGAAGGCUUGGACAUGUUGGUAUGCGUAAUCUAGACAAGCUGAUCAAAGGUGAUCAUAUUCUUGGCGUUAAAGAUGUUUUUUUUGACAAAGAUAGACUUUGUAGUGCUUGUCAAGCAGGAAAACAAGUAGGUGGAAGUCAUCCCGUGAAGAACAUCAUGACCACAAGGAGACCGCUUGAGCUUAUUCAUAUGGAUCUCUUCGGUCCCAAUGCUUACAAAAGCCUUGGUGGUAACUCCUUUGGUCUAGUUAUAGUUGAUGAUUAUUCCAGAUUUACGUGGGUAUUUUUCCUUGAUGACAAAUCGCAGGUUCAGAGAAUCUUCAAAACCUUUGCCAGAAAGGCCCAAAAUCAAUUUGAGGUGAAGAUCAAGAAAGUUCGGAGUGACAAUGGAACGGAGUUCAAGAACGCCAAUGUAGACUCUUUUCUCGAUGAGGAAGGGAUUCUACAUGAGUUCUCGGCUACAUACACUCCUCAACAAAAUGGAGUUGUUGAGAGGAAGAACCGAACGCUCAUAGAGAUGGCGAGAACAAUGCUUGAUGAAUACAAGACACCGAAGCAUUUUUGGGGUGAAGCGGUCGAGACAGCUUGUCAUGCUAUCAACAGGCUUUAUCUUCAUAAGCUCCUCGGCAAGACAUCAUACGAGCUCCUCACCGGUAACAAACCCCAAGUGGGAUACUUUCGUGUCUUUGGUUCGAAAUGCUAUAUCCUUGAUAAGCAUCGUCGGUCUAAAUUUGCUCCUAAAACUCAUGAAGGCUUUUUUCUUGGUUAUGGAUCAAACUCCCACACCUACCGUGUCUACAAUAAUUUCACCCGAAAGGUUGAAGAGACGGUAGACGUGAAGUUUGAUGAAUCUAAUGGCUCGCAAGUAGAGCAAAUGCCUAUUGAUGUAGGAGACAAGGACCCAUCGGAAGCUAUCCAAGAUUUAUCUAUUGGAAAGAUCCGUCCCAUGGAAGUGAAGGAGAGUACCUCAUCUACAUAUGUGGAGCCCCCUACCUCACAGCGAAAUGAACCUCAAGGCAACAUGGAGGCUUCCACAAGUGGAACUCACCAAGAUGAGGAAGUGCAACAAGAAGAUCCACCACAACCUCCUUCUCCACCGCCUCAAGACAACACCAACAACAAUGAAGAAGAAGAAGAGGAAGAUGAAGAUGAUGAGGAAGCUCAGCCACAACCUCAACAAAAGCUAUCCCGAGUUCGAGCAAGAGUCAAGAAAAAUCAUCCCGUGGAACAAAUGAUGAACGAUAUCAACUCCGGGAGAAUUACUCGCUCUAAAACUCGCUUAGCUAACUUUUGUGAGCAUUACUCAUUUAUCUAUAGUAUUGAACCUAUGAAGGUAGAAGAAGCACUUGAAGACCCGGAUUGGGUGAACGCUAUGCACGAAGAAUUACACAACUUUGAGAGGAACAAGGUAUGGACUUUGGUAGAGAAGCCCAAGGAUGAUCAAAACGUCAUUGGAACCAAAUGGGUGUUUCGAAACAAGCAAGAUGAAGAUGGACAAGUCAUCCGCAACAAGGCUCGUCUCGUAGCUCAAGGUUACACACAAGUUGAAGGUAUGGACUAUGGUGAGACCUAUGCCCCCGUUGCUAGACUUGAGUCCAUUCACAUUCUUCUUGCUUAUGCCAAUCACCAUGAUAUUACUCUCUAUCAAAUGGAUAUCAAAAGUGCUUUCCUAAAUGGUGAAAUUGAGGAGGAAGUAUUUGUGAAACAACCUCCCAGAUUUGUGAAUCCCAAAAAGCCUAAUCAUGUUUACAAGUUGCACAAAGCUCUUUAUGGUCUUAAACAAGCUCCUAGAGCUUGGUACAAAUGCUUGACUAGCUUUCUUCUUGAAAAAGGCUUUGAGAUUGGAAAGAUAGACUCAAUGCUGUUCACGAAAAGGGUUGAUGGUGAACUAUUUGUGUGCCAAAUAUAUGUUGAUGAUAUUAUCUUUGGUUCAACUAACCCUCAUUUUAGCGAGAAGUUUGGAAAGCUCAUGUCGGAGAAGUAUGAGAUGUCCAUGAUGAGUGAACUCAAAUUCUUCCUUGGGUUGCAAAUCAAGCAAUCUAAGGAGGGUACCUUUGUCUCACAAACAAAGUACACCAAGGAUCUCUUCAAGAAGUUCAACAUGCAAGAAAGCAAAGGUAUGAGAACCCCCAUGCCUACAAGUGAACAUAAUGACUUGACAAAAGAUGGAGAACCCGUUGAUCAAAAGGUUUACCGAUCUAUGAUUGGUUCUCUACUAUAUCUUUGUGCUUCUCGUCCUGACAUAAUGUUGAGUGUAUGCAUGUGUGCUCGAUAUCAAGCAGCCCCUAAAGAAUGUCAUCUUAAAGCUGUUAAAAGGAUUGUGAGAUAUUUGAUACACACACCAAACUUUGGCAUUUGGUAUCCUAAGAGGGCCUCUUUCGACCUUAUUGGCUAUUCCGACUCGGACUGUGCUGGUGACAGGGUUGAUAGAAAGUCAACUUCGGGUACGUGUCAAUUCCUUGGUCGAUCCCUUGUAUCUUGGUCCUCCAAGAAACAAAAUUCGGUAUCAUUAUCCACUGCCGAAGCGGAAUAUAUUGCUGCUGGUUCGUGUUGUGCUCAAUUGCUAUGGAUGACACAAACGCUUAAGGAUUAUGGGAUACAUGUGAGACAUGUUCCCUUGCUUUGUGAUAAUGAGAGUGCGAUUAAAAUUGGACACAAUCCCGUGCAACACUCUCGAACGAAACAUAUUGAAGUUCGUCACCAUUUCAUUCGUGAUCACAUUGCCAAGGGUGACAUCAAUCUUAAGCAUGUUCGUACUGACAAACAACUCGCUGAUAUCUUUACAAAACCUCUUGAUGAGAAGGUGUUUUGUCGCUUAAGGAGUGAGUUGAACAUCAUUGAUGCCUCAAACUUGGAGUGAGAACUCCAUUGAUGCAUGCAAGGCAUGAGCCUACUUGACUAAUCCUUGAUAUUUCUCUUAUGAUGGUAAUCAUAUGUCUUGGACACAUUUGCCUCCUUGUAUUGCAUCUAACUCCUUGCAGGUACUUGGAUGAUCUACAUUCCACAAGACUACCACACACUCAAAUCAUGAGUAAUCUUGUCAUUGACCAAGUAUCUAGCCCUUUGGGAUGUUGAGUUCAAGGAACAAAAUUCCACAUAUCCUUUUUGACAUCUUAUACAUCUAGUAUUUCGCUCUUGUCAUCUUGGAUAUCCUUGAGUAUUUCCUUGCUUGCCUAACCCAUGUAGGAAGAUGAACUACACAAGUGGAAAUGGCGCUCCAACUUCACAUUCAAUGAGCACCUACAUCAAGUUUACCUACAUGAACAAAGCAACAACAAGCCCAAGGUAUGUUCUUCACAUCUUUAAGGAGCUUUGCUCAAAGUCAUGAGUACACGCAGCUUCAUAAGAUGUGAUCACAUCAAAUGCUUAAUCGAAAAAUGGCAACCCCAUUUUGAGCUUAAACGAUGAGUAUGACCCAUGAUCAAAUGUUCUCAUUUGACUCCUAAGUCAAUAUACUCACACAUAGGUGACCUUGUCGCCGACCCUUAUCUAGAUGAAGUACAUAUGUUUUGGAGUCUUUCUAUUUUCUCUUAUGUUCUCUCAUUGAGUUUUUUUUUUAAAAAAACUUCAUCUAGGAAUCUUUUUCAUUUCUUUUUUUUGGUCUUUGUGAAUAUCCUUCUGGCUCUGAUCAAUUCCUCGAAAAUCAUUCACAAAUUCAUUGCAAACCCUUUGAAACAUUCCUCGCAAAUUGAGCUGAAUUAUUUCUGUAUUUCCUUGGAAUUAAACUCGGCGUCACCGAUUUAAAUAUUUCGGUCUAACCGAAAAGGAUCUACCCUAAGUCCCUGACUUUCGGACCCACCGAUCCAUCUUAAUUCGGUGUCACCGAUUUAUUUCUUUCAGGAUAUCAUCUUCUGCAGCUCCACUCAAUGAUUCUCUAUGCAUGUUCCUUUUUGCCCUAUUGUGAUUCUUAAGGAUCCCACUUCUUUCUUUCCAUCUUCCCUAACCUUCCUAGUUUGCUGUCCUUUUCGGCACUUGAUGUCAAAGGGGGAGAAGACUUAGGGGAGAAGAGAAGAUUUAGGGGGAGAAGAAGAGCAAUCUUACCUUAAGGGGGAGAGAAUCACAUCAAAGCUUUGCCGUGUUUUUCCUUAUAAGAGAAUUUCUUGCCGUGUUUCACAUUGGACAUUACAAUUGGCGUCAUUCUCAUUUGGCAUCAUUCUUUUGAUUUUGCUCUUUCCAUCAAACCCCUUGAUCGUAGAGAACUCAAAGGGAGAGGAAUCUUCACAAUUGAUAUCUUAUGGAAAGCAAAAUCUCUCAGAGUUCAUUGAAAAUCUUUUAGUUUCAGAGACAUGUUUGCUGAUUCAAGCUUGUGCUCAAUAUGAGACACUCUUUAUACAUGUCAUCCCUGGCUUGGUACUCUUGAUGUUCUUGCAGUUGGUUGAAGAAAUACUCUUGUGUUAUCUAACCUUGUUUUCCCAAGUUUAUCUCUUCAGGUACAAUGCCAAGGAACCUCAAGGUAAGUAUAUGCACUUUGCAGAAUGUGCAUGAUGGUGACUUGCUUGUGAAUACUUGUUUGCAAGAAAUCACCAUGCACAUAUGCAUUAUCACUCACUUCUUUUCAUCUGCUCUGAUGCAUGUAGCCAAGCUGCAUGUAGCACAUCUUGCUUUUCUCUCUUGUGUGCUUGUGGUAGUCCAAAACCGUAAUUUAUGAAAAUCUUGCACACUUGUAGGGGGAGCCUGUGUACUACAUGCUUGUCAAAGCUUUCGUGAUAAUUCUGUCUUUCUUUCAAUAAGCUUUGAUGUCUUGUUUAGUGUGUUGCCAUCAAUUACCAAAAAGGGGGAGAUUGAAAGCACAUUUGCUCCUCGGGUGGUUUUGGUAAUUAAUGACAACAUACUUUGUGGUUGGACUAAUGCUUUUAUCAAGUAUGUUUCAGGAAAUUCAAUCACAUUGGCAUGGCAAAAGGACUAAAGAGGUGGACCCCUCAAAAUGCUAAGGCAAGCAUUGGCAAAAGCUCAAGACUCCAUUUUUGGUUUAGUGAUCCUAGAUCACAUUGAGUCCAUAGGAAAAGCCAAUACUAUUAAAAGGGGAUGAGGUUAUGAUGAUGAUCUGGUUGCUCAAGUGCUUAGUGAUACAUCUCCUAAACUAUCAGCAACUUUCACUGCCAUAUACACUCAUAAGUAGUCUCGGUCCCACCGAUAUUCCAAACUCAGUCACACCGAGAUGAACCACCUCAGCCAUAAGCCAAACCCUAGAAAACUCGGAUUUUCCGAUUCUGAACUCGGUCUCACCGAAACAUGAGUUGCCAAGCUUCUGUAACCUUCUAUCAUCAAAUCGGUGUCACCGAGAUGAUGAAGUCGGUCCCACCGAAACUGGCAUGCUCUUGUCAUUGCACGAAUCGGACUAACCGAGAUUGUAUUUUCGGUCCCACCGAAAAUCCCAACGUUCACAUUAUUUGAACUAUCAGUCUCACCGAGUUGUCCACUUCGGUCCCACCGAGAUUGCUCAAAUGUGUGUAACGGUUGGAUUUUGUGUGGAGGCUAUUUAUACCCCUCCACCCCCUCUUCAUUCGUGGAGAGAGCCAUCAGAAAGAACUACCACUCCUACCUUACAUUUCUGAGAAGAGAACUACCUACCCUUGUGUUGAGAUCAAGUUGCUCCACUCCCACCAUAUGAAGCUUGAUCUCUAGCCUUCCCAAGUUGCUUUCCACUCAAUCCUUUCUUCCACCACAGCCAAAUCAGUGAGGAGAGUUGAGUGUUGGGGAGAUUAUCAUUUGAAGCACAAGAGCAAGGAGUUCGUCAUCAUCUACAACAUCUAUUACCUUUUGGAGGGUGGUGCCUCCUAGAUUGGUUAGGUGUCGCUUGGGAGCCUCCGUCAUCGAGAUGUGGAGUUGAACCAAGAAGUUUGUAAGGGCAAGGAGAUCGCCUACUUCGUGAAGAUCUACCCCGAGUAAGGCUAGCCCUCCGUGGGCGUAGGCCAUGAUGGAAUAGACAAGGUUGCUUCUUCGUGGACCCUUCGUGGGUGGAGCCCUCCGUGGACUCGCGCAGCCGUUACCCUCCGUGGGUUGAAGUCUCCAUCAACGUGGAAGUACGAUAGCACCACCUAUCGGAACCACGAGAAAAAUCACCGCGUCUCCAAAUUGCGUUUGAUCUUCUCCACUUCUCUUUACUACUUGUGCAAUUUACUUUCCGCUGCCCAUACUCUAGAAUUGCAUGUGUAGUGUGCUACUUGACUUGUAUGUUAUGCAAAAUCUGCCAAAAUCUGUCCUUGAUAAAAGACAGAAUUUUUAUCUUGUCGAGUAGUCUAAUCACCCCCCCCUCUAGACACUCUCACCUUCUUCGAUCCCUCAAG